ACCGGAAGGUCAUGGCCUGGAAAGGCGUAUGUAUGCAUUUAGUAUGUUGACUGAUUCAUAGAGUAAUGUUAUGUUAGUGACCGGCUAGACCGGUAUCUUGUUUAGAGUAAUGCUAUGAUAUGUGAUCUGUUGAUCGAUUGUUGUCUAUGAACUGUUAUAUGAUUAUUUGUUAUGUUAUAUAUGCAUUUUAUGCGUAUGGGCCGAAAGGCGAUAUGUUAUGGGCCGGAAGGCGAUUAUACUGUGUGAUGGACCGGAAGGUCGGCGUGGGUAGGACUGGAAGGUUUACCCAGCAGGGACGGAAGUCCCCUGAGACACAUGGACCGGAAGGUCAGGGCCUGGAAAGGCGUAUAUGUGGUUGGUAUUCUGGGGGUAUCUCACUAAGCUUUCGGGCUUACAGUUGUGGUUUUAUGUUUCAGGUUCUUAAGAGUCUGUGACAAGGCAAAGGCGUGAUCGUACCGUUCCUCGCGUUGGUGUUUUAUGUUAUGAACCUGGGAAAUUACUCUGUUAAAGAAUGUAUUGAAAACCUUUUUGUAACAAUGUUAAUAAAAUGGGUGAUUUUAAAAAGUUUUAAUUGUUUGAAAUUUUGGAUGUUACAAAGUGAAGUAGAAGUGGUCGCAAGUGAAGUAGAAGUGUCGAACAAGUAUAAGCGCAUCACGAAGUAGAGGCGACAAUAAGUGAAGCGAGAGUGUAUCAAGUAUAAGUGAAGUAGAGUCGUUAUCAAGUAUAAGUGAAGAAGAAUUGUAUCACUAAGUAAGAGCGUGAAUAAGUAUAAGCGUCANAGUAGGAGUAUAAAAUAAGUAUAAGCGAAGCGACAAUAAUUAACAAGUAAAGGUAUACGUCGAAAAAGGGAAUCUUUGAUGAAAAGCCUUUAUGUAUAGGGAAAAUCACAAAUUGUAUUCUUUUGUAAAAUAUGUUUAAAAGCCUUAGAGAAUCUUCCAUAAACCAAAUUUAGAAUGAAUUUGGAUAAAUCAGUAUAAGUAAAAGUUAUGAAAUAAGUGAAAAUCAUUAUAGUGUUCUACUCGGUACAACAGUGUAAAGUGGUAAAAUCUUGUGCAUGCGGGUUAUUAAUCACAUGUGAUUGAUAUGAUAACUGGCAUGUUUAACUUGUAAUCCCCCACUAUAAAAACAUUUAAAAGCAUUUAAAAGGUUCAUUCAGGGGUAUGAACUCACCUGGUGUAAGUAGGUCCGACGAAAGUGUCGUUUGGGCGUUCGGUGUCACGCAAGGACUUGAACACGCAUAAUGACCUAUUUUAGCAUAUGAUAACAUAUGUUCACAUACAAUUCGCAUAUUUAAUACUAAUUAAACAAAUAUAGGCGCUCAAAGGAGCGGAAAACACUUUGGCUAAGUGUUUAGGUGUCCCGGGUAGCGUUUAAGGGUGUAUAUGGCUAAGGAAUGAAGUUUACCCUCCAAGGAUAAACCCCUAUCAUCUAGUUUACGGCCCAGGGACUACUCACCAUGAGUUUACGGCCGUAAACUCAUGGUGAUGGGUUCUAGGGUGUUAAAGGCUUCUACUAGCAUCCUUGAAUUAUUCUAAGCACUUUUCCCAAAACGCAUGAGUGGGUUUGAGUUUAUGAGUUUACGGCCAAGGGACCACUCCUAAGGGAGUUUACGGCUGUAAACUCAAAUCCUUAGAGUUUUGGGAAUUUCUAAGCCCCUAUUGCCUUUCUAGAAUUUUCUUAUGAAGUUUAAUGCUAUUUUGGGGAUUUAAAACCAACAUUUAGGGGUGUUUACGGCCUUGACCCUUGUCUGGGCCGUAAACUCCCUUUAUUAAAUCCUUUUGGUGUGUUUCAAGGGUCUAAACUCAAGAGAAUAAGUCCCUAAAUUAUGUAAUAAGUCCUAGGAUGAGUUUGGAGUGCAUUUGGGACUAUGGCUUGAGGGGUUUACGGCCUAAGCAAGUGCUUGGGCCGUAAACUCUUCUUUGAGUCCUAAAUCCAUGCAUUUUAGUGUUUAAACACCCCUAGGCUAAUUCCCCUAUUUAUUUCCAAGCUUUUAGGGACAUUUUCGAGUCAUUUUGGCCUUGUUUUAAGUGUUUACGGCCUAAGGAGGAGCUUAGGCCGUAAAGUCCUUUUCCAAUGCUUCUAAGUCCGAAUUUUAGCUAUAAACACGAAAAAAUAUGUUUAGAAUAAGCUAGGGUAAGUGGACUUACAAUUUGGAAGCGUUUGGUUGCGGAUUCGGGGCUAAAAUGGGUCCAGAGAGAGUAUAGAGAGAGAGUGUAAAAAGUCUCCAAUGGACUCCACUCACCCUUAUAUAGGGUUUUGAGUCGGGGCUCAGUGGAAUUUUACCCGAUACUGCCGUUAAACGGGGCUUUUGGUUGCACCCGAUUUAGUGGUCAUAAUAACAAAACUUGACAUUUUCCAAUUUAAUGGAAAUGUGUGUCAUGUGUUUUUAUUCCCUUUUAUCACGACUUAACGGCAUUUUAAUUAUAAACAAAUAGAAUGUUUAUUAAAUUAACGCCCUCUAACUAACGGAACUUUAUACAGUGGAAUAUUUCGUUAACGGUAACGGGGAAAAUGCAACGGGAACACUUGGGUUGUCACACUCAUCUUCAGCAUUUUCCUGCACAAUUAAAGCAGGCAUAGAGUUGUCAGUGAUUUUCUUCUUCUUGUUCUCUUCCACCUUACACAUAUAGUAAGUCUCAUCAUCCUCGCCAUCUUUCUUUUCGUUCAGCCUUGUCAACAUGCACUCCUUUUUCAGAUGAUUUUUACCAUGACAAUAAUUGUAGUUAUAGCCAGAAUCACCUACGAGCUUGUUUUCUUUCUUCUCUUCUUCCUUCUUAGGAGCACUUUUAUUCUCCUUCUUCACUUUCUCAACACUAUAACUUCCCCUCCAAUUUUUGUUCUUGGCAGAUGGAAAUUUCUUCUUGGCGAACCGUUUGGGAUUUGUGAUCAUCAAUGCAUAAUCUUCACUAGAAAGAUCACAAUCAGAGAUCUCCUUUUCAGAUUCUUCCUCUGUAACAUUUUUUCCUUUUUCCACAAGAGCUAAGGACCCUGUACUCGAAACAACUUUCGCUUCUCUUUUCACCACACUUUCAUGUGACUUAAGAAUACAAACGAGCAUAGACAAUUUAUAACUUUUGAAUUGUUCGUGUGCUUUAACGGUAGACACGACAGCCAUCCACUCUGAUCUAAGUCCAUUCAUAAAGGUAACUUUUUGUUCGAUCAGUUCGCGCCCGAUACCAUGCUUCACCAUUCUACUAAGAAGAUGGUUGUAGCGAAUGAACGUCUGGCUCAGAAUUUCUUUUGGCUUUUGUGUAAAGGCCCCAAACUCCGAAAGCAGAAGGGUUUGGGUAUCAUGCUCGAGAUCAGCAUCAGUAGAAUAAAGCUCUUUAAGCUUAUCCGAGAUCUCUUUCGAUGUAGUACAAGAACUCACUAAGCGAAACGUAUCAGACUGCAAGGCGAAUAUGAUUACCCUCAUUACUUUGAUAUUGUUGAUAAGCUUGUCUUUCUCAUCCUUAGGAACUUCCUACACAUCAAUGAGCAGUUGGUUGUAUUCCUUUUGAGUUUUGAUGGUUCUUCGAGUUUCAGUAUGAACAAAUGGACCUAGAGUAAUGGCUUCCCAUAUCAGGUAACGAUUAUCUUCAGAUCCAAUGACCUAAUCUUCAAAAUGUGACGCCCAGACUUCAUACUCCAAAGGGAACAAGAUUGGAAUCCUUGUAGUCGAUCCUAUGUUACUUGUGAUGUUAAUGGAGUUUAACUGUGAAUGGGCGUGUUGCAUUUUGAGUUUAUUAACCUGUCAAGAAUCAGACUUGUAAACAUGUAUUAGGAUAAUAUCAAGAUCACAGAGUAACGUCAAUAAAUCAAUGAUGGAUCGAAUAGAUCUAAUAUUAAUGGAAACCUAAUGACUUCUUCAAACAAAAGAGUUGUGUAUUGAUUACACAGCCUCCUGCUCUGAUACCACUUGUUGAGCAUCAGCGCUACCGUUUGAUCUAAAACCAAUUGGUGUUAGAAAGUGCGUAACCUUACCCAUAUAACGUAUUUAACCCUCCAGGACCAGGCAUUCGAUUGCAGCACUCCAUAUAACGUAUUCAACCCUCCAGGAUUAGGCAUUCGAUUACGGCACUCCAACCCAACAAUCCCCCUUAGAAAUUGCUUCCUGAGAGAAUCGAACCCUCACCACUGGCUCUGAUACCAAUUUUUAGGAAUGAAAUCCUCUUAGAUCGAUUAGAUUCUAACAAGUAAAGUAAUAGCACGAUAUGAAAACAACAAGACAAGAUGGAUCAACUGGUGUCGAAUGAUUAAAAGACACAACCUUAGAAGAACUCUAUGAAGAAUUGUUACUAUAGAGGCGUGUUAGGGUUACAAAGAAAAGAUUGAUCAAAAAUAGUUAACUAAAAUCAGAUGUAUGCAUGCACCAUAUAUACUCUAACCCCAAUAUUAAAUACGGUUGGAUAGGCCCAAACCGUUUACAAAAAGGACUAAAACAAGGCCCAAUGACACAACACUUAAAUACUUAACAUUUCUCUCCGCUUCAUGAAAAUUAUUGUGAGGAAACGCUUUCACUAAGUAGAUUCUAAGGAUAUAGAAAUUGAGGUACUUGCAUUCUCAAAUUCGAAUAUAAUUACGGCAUCGCUCUUCAUAGUUCGAAUUGUGAGAAAUGGAAAAGUUCUAAAUAUUUGAGACUUAUUGUUGUAAGUUCUAAAAUUGUUUAGACACACAUGUGAGCUAUCUAAGGAAAGGUGUAUGAGUUUGAGAACCCUGGAUAAACUCUUAUCGAAGCAUCUCGUAUCAGAAAUCUGAACUUUGAUAAGAAAGUCAAUAAGUAUUGGUUUCUAGACGUCCAGCUUAUUUCUAGGUACAUGUCAAAACCAGUGGGAGCAUACGUGUUAUGCUCAUAAGAAUGUAAUUAUUAUGCUAAUGGGAGCACAAUUAUUACGUUAAGUGUUGCGAGUUAGCAAUUUUAAUUAUAGAAAACAAAAGUUUCAAAUAGCAGAGUUGCAGGGUUUGAAAAGUUGUUGUGCUAUAAUUAAGGGAGAUGAAUUCAUACUUCAUUUCAAAUCUAAAAGCUUAGAUUGAGAUUUUAAUCAAAUUUAGUCAACAACAUAUAUGGAUGUUAUAUUGAAAUGGUUCAACAUAAGGAAAUUCUAUACGUGGAAAUAUUGUAGCAAGAGACUGGAAAAGUAUCACGUCUUUAUGUGAGACAUUAUGAAUCGUAUCCCAUAUGCUUCAGGUAUAGGAUCGAUUGCAUAUGCUAUAAUAUUUAAGUGAUCCAUUUUUGCAAAUGCCUAGGGAAUUAAGAGGGAAAAGGACUAGAACUGGAUAUGAAUAAAAUGAUUAAAAAUUGUCGAGGACAAUCUGAGGUUUACCAAAGAUUGAUUGCUCAUGGAUAGUUGGAAGUAUAGUGUAAAUUUUGGAAGGACCAUAUUGACAUAUUCUAAAAAGAUGCAACUCUUGUUCAGAAGUGAUAGUCAAAAUGGGAAUAUGGAAAUGUUUCCAUAGGUGGAAGUUAUUCAUUAAACUUGAGUAAGAUUAGAAAGCUUAAUGCAAGAAGGAUGUUCAAAGGAAUGUGCUUUAAAUGUGAGACUUUGUUUCCAUGGAAUUGCUCUCCAUUGGAAUACUUUGUAAUGUCUGUUGCCAAGUCUCUGUGACCAAUAAAUGGAAAGAAUUGGUAUUCGUACAUGUACGGUAAAUACUUGGAAUUGUGAAAUGAGUUUCAUGAAGAUGUUUUUAAUUGAUCUAUUUCACAAAUUAAGAACCACAGAUAAACAUAGUGUGCAUGCUUGGAGCAUGGGACAACUAUUGUUUUAAUUCAAGUAUUAAGUUAAUUAGUCGAAACAUUAUACAAUGAAUAAUGCGUAAUCAAUAUGGUGAUUAAAUAAAAGGUGUUUUAUUUAUUAUCAUAAGUCCUGAGACCAUAUCAGAUUCAGUUGUCCUUGUGUUUCACUUUGCAUGUUUCGACUUCCCGAAUAACUAGGUUAUUCAAACUAUCCACAGUCGAUCAUACUUUGGAAGUAGGUAUUGAGGCAAGAUUGUCAUGAAUCUGAUUGUAGAUUGUCUAGGUGUUUUAAACAUAGCACAAGUUUCUUGCAAUGUUCAUGAGUACUCUUUAAUAAGAUUUGUUUAUUGGACUAAACCCACGCUCAUCUGAAUCACUUCAUAUAUUUUAUCACGAGUGAUUGUGAGACAAUAAUAUCUUAUAUUCUUGAAACCAAGACAUGUGAGUUGUAAUUUACAAGUCGGUUCCACAUUGACAUAUGCAAACGCACCAGUAACUUGGUGUUAUAAAACAUAUUGUUGUGUUUGAUUUGAUGAGUAAAUACAAGCAAGCAUUUGAGUCGAAGUUUAUCCAUUCCUUUCACCCUUAGAUGGAUAAAAGCAAUUUAUGUGGGCCCCUCGACGAUUUAGUGAUGACAACCCUAAGUGCAAGGCCAUGUUUCGACUGAUUUCAUUUGUUCAAUUAAUCGGUCGUCAUAAAUCGGAAAUCAGGAAACAAUAAAUGGAUAGAGAGAAUGAUUAUAAUCCAUGUCUCAUGUCCAUAUGAUAUAUAGAAUGGAGGAAUAUAUGAUCCCUUAUCUAAUAGACGCGACAUUGACUAGGUCAGAGUUCGUCAGCGGCUUUUAAGAGCUACGAUUGCUAGUCGGGAUUUUGGAGUUGUACUUGCAAUAAUAGUUGUUAGACUUAUCCAAGUGGGAGACUGUUGGAUUAGGUGUCUAAGCCCAUAACUAUAAUUGGUAUGUACUUGAACCGAGAGUAGCAUGGUCCAUUUCGGGUUGCAUAUCACCAGGACAAUUUGAGAGGAUGGAUACUUGAGUAAGAGGCUACUUAUGAUUUAUUAAUAUAUUAUAAGUUUUAAUAUAUUAAUACGAAAUCAUAUUAUUUAAUUAUUAUUGAUCAAGAAUUAAUUUGGAAUUAAUUAUGUGAUCAAAAGAGACUAAUUGAAUAUAUGGGGAUUGAUUUUGUAAAUCAAUGAUUCUUAUAGUGUGGGCCAAUUGUUAUUUAGGAUGGGCGAAACUAAUAUGGUAGUCCAUGGAUAGUCAAUGGAGGUUUAACCCAUGGAGCCUAAGUAAUGAAAGAUCAUGGGCAUUAGGGUUUGCAUGGAUGUAACCCUAGACUUUGCCACACUAUAAAAGGACUCCCUUAGCACCCAAAAUUGGCCACUAGAGUUCUUGGAGUUCAUUAGAGCCGAUUUUGGAGCUAGCAACAUCUCUCUCAAGUUCUCCAUUGUCCUAGGUGUGUUGUGCACCGUUUAAGGCAUCACACUUGGGGUGCUAAGUUAUUAAAGGCCAAAUACAACAAGUUCUACAAGAUACAUAAAGAGGUAAACUCCUAACAAGUAUUUUAUGUUGUUUAUGUCAAUUGUAUGCUAGUUGUAGGCUUAAUGCUAUCGAAACAAUAUUGCAUGUAUAAUUAGAGAAAACAUAGAUCCAAAACACUUAGGGUUGUAUGUUCACCAUAGGAUAUUGUAGUAUACUAAAACCCAACAUAAGGCCCAUGAAAAAGGAUUGGGCCCAAUUGCAAAUUGGGUCAUAUAUUGGGCUUCAUGGGAUUGUUUAUCUUUUGGGUCAUGGGUUGUGAUUUAAGGUUCAAGUUAUGUUAGGGGUAAAAUAUUCUUUUACCUGAUGUAGGGAUUUUUAGGUAAUAAGGUAGAUCUCUUGUUUGAUUACCUUUUAUUUGGAAAUUGUUAGCUCAAGGAGCUGUAGGACCAGCAGUCAGGGAUUAUUCAUUUUAGUUAGCUUAUCGAGGUGAGUUUCCUUACCAGGUUUAGUAGGUCGAAGGCAUGAAUUUCAGCCCAUGUUUUUGAUAUGUUGUUAGUAUGCUAGUUGUCUUUGUGACUUUUGCAUGGGGUUGUGUUUAUAUAUUUUUCGGGAUAAGGCCUGAUGUCAGGCGAGGACUAAUGAAUAUCUGUAUGAUAUGUAUCUAUUUGAUUAUUACAUGUGUAUGUGUUCAUCUGAUAUAUGUUAUUAUAUGUUGGUCGGGGCAUGUUUACCGAGCUCAGCUCGAUGCCGGGCGGGGUCCGAUGCCGGGAGGGGCCCACAAUAUGUUUAUUGUAUGUUUGUUAUGUGGUAUUUUGGGGUAACUCACUAAUCUUCGUGCUUACGGAUUUUAGUUUAUGUUUCCGGUACUUUUGGUUGUAAAGGAAAGAGCUCGGGAUGACUGCAUUGCACACACCAUUGAGUUUCAGCUUAUGAUGUUUUAUUCUGAUUUUAUGGCAACUGAUACAUUAGUUUUAUUUAAAUGUUUGGAUGAUGUUGGAAGAUACUAUUUUAUCUAUUAUUAAAAAUGAAAUUUUUGGGACCAUAUUUUUGAAUGUUCCACUAGUAUGGAUUUCAGAUGAUUGGAUAGAAUGGCAUGGUUAUGUGGUGUGAUGGUUAGAAUUUCUCGAUGCUCGAAUGUUGCUUGCUUUGUGAUUUAUGGGACUCACAUUGAUGUGAGUUACUUACUUCAUGAAUAUGUUAAAUUACAUGCAGUAAAGGUUACAAAAUUCGAGAGUGAUUGACUUGGCAUUAUUACGCAGCUCUCAUCCGAGUCUAAUUGUUGUAGUAUUGAGUCUUUUAGUUAAAGGAUUGUCUAAUAUUUUUUGCAUGUAAUUGUAUUCAUGAAGAAGUUAGUUAACAUUACCAGGGGACCUUCAGCAACUGAGGGUAGGGUAGGGUGAGGACCCUAGGAAAGCCUAGGAAGUUUUUAGUGGGUUUUGAUGCGCUAUUUAGUGGGUAUUUGGAGUACCAGUUUGAGAAGGUGACUUAGAGGAUUCGAGAUGAUUCUUGAGGAAAGUAUGGAUAGGUGUGGAAGGUAGUAUUGGGCCCGUACUACAGAAAUCACAGGAUCCAUACUCAACUCAAGCAGGGCACAGAGAAUCUAGGAAGCCUGUGGGAUAAGGAUUCUUUGGGUAUGUUCUGAUUAUUGUAAGGUUGCUUUUCAGAAUGGUGAUGAGUACGCGAGGAGGAAGUUCAAGUUCUGGUUCAGGAUCAGAUGUUGGUACUGAGCCAAUUGAUGAGCAAAUGUGGGAGUUCAUCUCUUUGGAGAUUAACUUUGGUAUUUCAAAGUAGACUCCCGUCAUCUUCGAUUCAGUCAAGGAGGGGAUUAUGGAUAUUUUGGAUGAGCUUCUGGGAACGUUCCACACUUAGAUGUUGGCUAUUGUGGGAGCUCCCACUCUUUACUUCUAUUAGUUUCAUGCUUGCAGAGCUCCUCAGUUAUAUGGGGAGAAGGACCCUAUUGCUAGUAUGAAGUGGUUAGCGGACAUGGUGAACACUUUCUGGACAAUUUUCUGACCCAAGGAUUCAAAGGUCAAAUUUUCAUCCUAUCUUUUGAAAGAUAGAGCUCGAGACUGGUGGGAUAAGGUAGAUUUCGCUUUGGGAGGUAAGGUCAUUGAGACGAUGAAUUAGGAUGAGUUUGUGAACCGGUUUUGGGUGGAGUUUGCAUCAGCUAUUGAGUUGCAACAGUCGGCAAGGGAUUUCCAGGACCUUCGCCAGAUAACUGAUAUGUUGGCAGAGAUCACCGCCAAAUUCACGUACAGGGCCUUAUUUGUAACAACGUAAAAUUUCCAGUUAAAUUUUUAAUUUUUAAAACCACAAAAUGUCUAUCACAUCAUAAUUUCAAAUCCGAAACAACAGUGUUUUCAAAACAAAUUCCCAAGAUCUCUCAAAAGUGAACUCCAUCAGUGUGAGUGUGUACGAGUCAAGCCGUCGCCUUCCAACGGUCCUCGCUGGUACCUGAGACAUCAAACACAACAACUGUAAGCAUAAUGCUUAGUGAGUUCCCCAAAAUACCACAUACCACAAAUACGCCUCUCGAGGCUAACCCGACCCUCCGGUCAAGAUGUCUCAGCUGGACCCUCCAGCCCUACAGCUCGUUGGACCCUCCAGUCCGGUCAUAGCUCAUUGGGCCCUCUGGCCCGGUCUGAAUCGUUGGACCCUCCGGUCCGGUCUAUAUAGUCAUACAGCGUACAAAUAACACAUAGCAUAAAAUCUCAAAUAUAACACAUAAUCUCAUACAUAGCACAUAAGACCCUCUGGUCAACUCAGAAUACCACUCAAGGUACGUAUAGUGAGAAGACUCACCUCGUGGAAAGUCUAAGAUCUCGCGUACUCGCUAUCUCCCAAAAUCCAACGACGACUCUACCUCGCCUAAUCAUAAAAAUAUCAUAUUAAUACUCAAAGACUUUCAUAACAACACUUUUACCCCUUAACACCAAUCCUCAGAGGGUAAAAGACCAUUUUACCCCUCCUUGACCCAAAGUCUUCAUGUUGACCAAAACCCUAAAAAGUCAACAAAAGUCAACCCUACGAGUACGCGGGGCGUACUGCUUGAUGUACGCGGGGCGUACAUCGCCAACCCAUGGAUCGGGGUCUCCACCCAGUACGCUGCGCGUACUGGAAGUUACGCCCAGCGUAACCAUCAGACUUUAGCAUACAUCAUUUCUGGUCUUAAUCGGUUAAGCCAUUACUCCAACUUCUAGAUCCGGCUCAGUUUAUGCGUCUAUACCCAUAAAGUCGAGACCUUUAAGCCUUGGCAUGGCUGUAAAGGCUCCAACACUUCAUAACAUCACUCUAUUCCAACUCAAGGACCUAGAUCUCAUGCAUGGUGCAAUGUUCACGACCAAGAUUGCAUUUUUAUGAGUCUACAACUAAAAUAGACCAGAAAUACGAAGGAUCUAAGCUUAUGGAGACCAUUUGCUCAAAAGUCUCCACCUUUGGGACUAAAACCCUAGAAAAUGGUACAUGAAGCAUAUUACAAGAACUAUAGGACAAGAUCCGAGCUUUUUACCUUGAAAUGAAGCCUCAACCUUUGCUAAGCUCAGAUCUACACUUGAAUACCACUUCUAGCCUUCCCCAAUGAGCUCCUCUUCUCCUUUGCUACCUUGAAAUGGCACCACCAAGCUUAGAAUACUCACAAAUGGCCUAAGAACGGUUGCACACUCUCUUUAGGGUUUCUCUCUGAGGGAUGGUGGCUGAGAAGUCGAGCCACACAUUCCUUUUAUAGCCCUCCAAAAGAAUUAGGGUUUUUAGGUCUGGACUGAUUACGCCCCGCGUAACCAUGGGUACGCCCAGCGUACCUGAGGGUGAACGCGUACAAAUGAAGCGCACGAGUACGCGCAGCGUACACCUUGUACGCCCACCGUACUCGCUAAUCAUGCAGCCCUAAAAGAGAACAUAAUAAGGAUGAAGGGAUAAGUAUAAGGGUACCUGGUUUUCGGGCUGUUACAAUUCUCCCCCACUAGAACCAGACUUCGUCCCCGAAGUCUCAUACCGAAAACAACUCCGGAUACUAAUCCCGCAUCUGAGCCUCGGGCUCCCAUGUCAGCUCGGACCCCUUCCGAUGUUGCCACUGCACUUGUACCAAGGGUACUUCCUUGUUCCUCAGAAUCUUAACCCUUCGAUCCCUGAUAGCCACUGGCCUCUCCACAUAAUUCAGGUCUGCAUCCACCUGAAUAUCAUCCAAAGGCACCACGGCCGACUCGUCGGCAAUGCAUUUUCUCAACUGAGAAACAUGAAAGGUGUCGUGGAUCUGUCCCAAUUCAGCAGGUAGAUCCAACCGGUAGGCUACCCUGCCUACCCUAGCAAUUACCCUGAAGGGUCCAAUGUAUCGGGGUCCCAACUUGCCCCUCUUCCUGAAUCGUAUCACUCCUUUCCAAGGAGAGACCUUUAGGAGCACAAGGUCACCAACCUGAAACUCGAGUUCGGACCGACGCCUGUCCGCAUAACUUUUCUGGCGACUCUGCGCGGUCAACAAUCUCUGCCAGACCUGCUGUAUCUGCUCGGUCGUCUGGAGUACAAUCUCUGUACUACCUAUUACCCAUUGCCCCACCUCUCCCCAGCAGAUGGGGGUGCGACACCUCCUCCUAUACAACAGCUCAAAAGGUGGCAUACCAAUGCUCGAAUGAUGGCUGUUGUUGUACGAAAACUUUGCCAAGGGUAGAUAGGUGUCCUAACUCCCUCCAAAAUCCAAAAAACAUGCUCGGAGCAUAUCCUCAAGCAUCUGAAUCGUCCGCUCGCUCUGUCCGUCCGUCUGCGGGUGGUAUGCGGUACUGAAUGUAGCCUCGUACCUAACUCCUCGUGGAACUUCUUCCAAAAUCUGGAAGUAAAUCGCACAUCUCGAUCUGAAACAAUCGACAAUGGAACCCCAUGCCACGAUACCACCUCCCUCACAUACAACUCUGCCAACCUCUCAGCAGAAGAGCUCUCACUGAUAGCAAGAAAAUGAGCGCUCUUCGUCAACCUGUCCACAAUCACCCAAAUUGCAUCGACUCCUCUCGCAGUCCUUGGCAAUUUGGUGAUAAAAUCCAUGGUAAUCUGUUCCCACUUCCACUCGGGAAUCUCCAACGGUUGCAGCUUACCAUGCGGACGCUGGUGCUCGGCCUUAACUUGGCGACAAGUUAGGCACCUCUCGACGAACCAUGCAACAUCCCUCUUCAUACAGGGCCACCAAUACUCCUUCUUUAAGUCCAAAUACAUCUUAGUGGCCCCGGGAUGGAUCGAGAACUUUGAUCGAUGUGCCUCUUCCAUCAAAAUGGUAUGCGUCCCGCCCACAAACGGUACCCAAAUCCGACCCAGAAACGUCAUGAGCUCCCGACUAUAGAUAACGAACUCCGACACCUGCCCAACAACCCGCUCCCGCUUUCGGUUCUCUGGUCUCGCAGCCUCAGCCUGGGCCCCUCGGAUGGUGUCCAAUACCGGAGUCAUCACCGUCAACCUCAUACAAAUGCCUCGGAUCGGGGCGCUCUCCGACCUACGGCUCAAAGCGUCGGCUACGACAUUAGCCUUGCCCGGGUGGUACAGGAUCUCACAAUCAUAAUCCUUCACCACAUCCAACCAUCUCCUCUGGCGCAUAUUCAGGUUUGGCUGAUCCAUCAAGUACUUUAAGCUCUUGUGGUCAGUGUAUAUCGUACACCGAACCCCAUACAAAUAGUGACGCCAGAUCCUGAGGGCAAACACUACAGCCCCAACUCCAAAUCGUGGGUGGGAUAUCUCGUCACAUGAGGCUUCAACUGCCUCGAUGCAUACGCGAUCACAUGCCCUCUCUGCAUCAACACCGCUCCCAACCCCGAUAUCGAUGCAUCACAGUACACCACGAAAUCCUCCAUCCCUUCCGGUAGUGCGAGUACAGGAGCUUCGCACAAUCUCUGACGAAGGGUCUCAAACGAGGUUUGCUGCUCUGGACCCCAUGAGAAAGUAACACCCUUCCGGGUCAACUUGGUAAGUGGCACGGCGAUCUUGGAGAAAUCUCUGAUAAAUCUCCGAUAGUAGCCUGCCAACCCUAAGAAGCUCCUGAUCUCCGUAGGUGACCUCGGCACCUCCCAACUCAUCACAGCCUCGAUCUUGGCCGGGUCAACCAAAAUCCCAUCCUGGUUAACGAGAUGCCCUAAGAACUGGACCUCCCGUAACCAAAAAUCGCACUUGGAGAAUUUGGCGAAAAGCCUCUCCGCUCUCAGAACUCCGAGGAGCUCCCUCAAAUGUUCCUCAUGCUGCUCUCUGGUCCUCGAAUACACCAGGAUGUCAUCAAUGAAUACAAUGACUGAACGAUCCAACAUCGGCCUACACACCCUGUUCAUGAGAUCCAUGAAUGCCGCUGGUGCAUUGGUGAGCCCGAAUGGCAUCACCACGAACUCGUAAUGCCCGUAACGAGUCCUAAACGCCGUCUUCUGGAUAUCCUCAUCCCGAACUCUCAUCUGGUGAUAUCCCGAUCUCAAGUCAAUCUUGGAGAACCAAGACGCCCCCUGCAACUGAUCGAAUAGAUCGUCGAUCCUCGGUAACGGAUAACGGUUCUUGACCGUCAACUUGUUCAACUCCCGGUAAUCAAUGCACAUCCGUUGUGAACCAUCCUUUUUCUUGACAAAAAGGAUCGGCGCUCCCCAGGGAGAGCUACUAGGACGGAUGAACCCUUUCCCCAACAACUCUUGCAGUUGUGAGGAUAACUCAUGCAUCUCUGGCGAUGCUAGCCGAUACGGCGCCUUAGCGAUAGGCGCAGCCCCGGGAACCAAAUCGAUACGAAACUCCACCUGCCUCUCGGGAGGCACACCCGACAACUCCUUGGGAAACACGUCCGGGAACUCACGCACUAUUGGCACCUCAUCCACGGAACUUGGCCUCCCAGCGGCCUCUCGCACAUCUGUCACAUAGGCUACGAACCCCUUGCAGCCCUGCUGCAAACUCCGCCUCGCUCUAGCGGCCGAACAGAAAACCGAACCACCACGAGUCCCCUCGCCGUAAACCAUCAGCGCUCCCCCACUAGGAUCUCGGAUCGUCACCAAUUGACGCUCGCAAUCUAUGACAGCCCCAAAACGGCUCAACCAAUCCAUUCCCACUAUGACACAAACAUCCCCCAUAGCGAUCGGAAUCAAAUCAAUCGGGAACUCCACCCCGAAUAUCUCCAGCAUGCAUCCACGUAUCACCUCGGUAGCACAUACCUCACGCUCAUCUGCUAUGGAAACCCGCAGAGGUUGACUCAACGCCUCCCUCGGAUUGCUAAUGUACCGACUAAAAGCCAAAGAUACAAAAGACCGACUCGCACCCGAGUCGAAUAAAACCAAUGCAGGUACAGAACUCACAAGAAAAGUACCUACGCAUAACAUAUAGCAAUUACAAUAGCAUAAACUCAACAUAAAAUAGAUAAGAUUACAUACUCGCCACGACGUCAGGUGCUGCGCGGACCUCCUCCGCAGUCAGCUGGAAGGCUCUCCCCUUAGCCUUCGGUGCUUCGGCCUUCACUGGCUGGGUCUCAGCAGCUCGAACCGCAGGUGCAGAUCCCUGCACUGACCUCUGAAUCUGGGGGCACUCAGCCUUCCAAUGGCCGGUCUGGUUGCAAUGGAAGCAAAAUGAGAACCCCUUCGGACAGUCCCUCGCAAAAUGUCCUUCCUUCCCGCAUUUGUAGCAUACCCCAGUCUUGCACGGCCCAUCAUGGCUCUUGCCACACUUCCCGCAAGUGCGGCCCCUCGAACUACUCGUCCUCGAAUCAGCGGGCUUUGCCCGCUUGGCGGCUGGCUGCGACUGCACCGGUCGUCGAUCACCCAUCUGCAACUCAGUCUCCUCCCUCGCCUGUGUCUCAAGCUCGAUCUCCCUCUUCCUGGCAUUUGCCUGGAGCUCGGAAAAUGUUUGGUAAGUCGAGUUCGCCACGAACUCGCAGAUGUCCCUCCUCAAAAUACUCAGAUAACGGAUCAUGCGAGCCUGCUCAGUGGAUACCAACUCCGGGCAAAACAGCGUCCGCUCAUGAAACAUCCUCGUAAUCACUGUCACCGACUCUGUCCCCUGCUUGAGGGUCAGAAACUCCUGAGCUAAACGUUCCCUCUCCACCUGGGGAACAUACUCGUCACGAAACAUCGCAGUAAACCUCUCCCAGGUCACUGCAGUCAGCUCAGCUGUAGAAUAGCUCGCGGUCACAAAUUUCCACCAGUCCUUCGCCCCCAAGCGAAGCUGGUUGAGUACGAAUCACACCCUCAAGUGCUUCGGACAUGAGCACAUGUAGAAACACCCCUCCAUGUAUGAGAUCCACCUCAUAGCGGCGAUCGGGUCCUGCGUACCAUCGAACUCUGGUGGUUUUGUGUUGCUGAACUCUCGGUACAGCAACGAAUCACCACCCUGGGGUCUUGCAGCAGCAACAGCUGUUGUGGCUGCAGCAACAGCAGCAUCAGUCAAGGCAGCGUAACGCUCGUCAAACGUCUCGAUCAGUGUGGUCUUAAUAGACCCAAACAUCUCCGGAAUCUCGGCUCUGAUGGCAGCAGCCACCUCCUCAUGGAUGAUCCGACGGAUCUCCUCAUCGCUCACCCCACUGCUCUCGGGGUUAUGGCGUGUCCCGACCAUGAUCAACCUCUGAAAUACAACAUAAGAAAUAUCAGGGAUACUCUCGAGUAUACUCACACUCGAUAACUCAAACAUCCUCACUCCUGGUACCCCCAAGGAUUCUUACUUGGACUGCGCACCAAUCCGGUGUUUUCAAUAGUACGGGCCCAAUACUAUUGUCCACAUCGAAUCAAUAUACAAUCCAAGUCCUCCUCCUAGGAUCCCAAGUCGUAAAUACUCUACUCUCGCUAUGCAUUGGCUACCCUCAGUAGACCUAUCAUGAGCUCCUCACUGCUACCUACUCACUCUCAAAGUAUCUCAUAGCAGCAGUAAUCUCCUAGGCUAAGGUAUCACAAAUCAGGCCACUCUAGUCCUUAUAGGAAUACCUAGCCUCUCUAUCAUGCAUAAAAUAAUAUCUCAUAACUCAUAACAUAUAAUGUAAGGGUAUUUUGGGGAUUCACCGUUCGGGCGCUGGCUGACCGUACACACCAUCCACUUUGCUCGUUUCCAAAACUUCUUUUUCUUUUUAGAAAAUUUGCAGUUUUGGUUGUAAAAUUUCUCAAAUCCUCGGUUUGAGUUCAAAUACGCCCGAAGGUGCAUCCAAAUCCCUCAAACCAAGGCUCUGAUACCAACUUGUAACAACGUAAAAUUUCCAGUUAAAUUUUUAAUUUUUAAAACCACAAAAUGUCUAUCACAUCAUAAUUUCAAAUCCGAAACAACAGUGUUUUCAAAACAAAUUCCCAAGAUCUCUCAAAAGUGAACUCCAUCGAUGUGAGUGUGUACGAGUCAAGCCGUCGCCUUCCCACGGUCCUCGUUGGUACCUGAGACAUCAAACACAACAACUGUAAGCAUAAUGCUUAGUGAGUUCCCCAAAAUACCACAUACCACAAAUACGCCUCUCGGGGCUAACCCGACCCUCCGGUCAAGAUGUCUCAGCGGGACCCUCCAGCCCCGCAGCUCGUUGGACCCUCCGGUCCGGUCAUAGCUCAUUGGGCCCUCUGGCCCGGUCUGAAUCGUUGGACCCUCCGGUCCGGUCUAUAUAGUCAUACAGCAUACAAAUAACACAUAGCAUAAAAUCUCAAAUAUAACACAUAAUCUCAUACAUAGCACAUAAGACCCUCUGGUCAACUCAGAAUACCACUCAAGGUACGUAUAGUGAGAAGACUCACCUCGUGGAAAGUCUAAGAUCUCGCGUACUCGCUAUCUCCCAAAAUCCAACGACGACUCUACCUCGCCUAAUCAUAAAAAUAUCAUAUUAAUACUCAAAGACUUUCAUAACAAAACUUUUACCCCUUAACACAAAUCCUCAGAGGGUAAAAGACCAUUUUACCCCUCCUUGACCCAAAGUCCUCAUGUUGACCAAAACCCUAAAAAGUCAACAAAAGUCAACCCUACGAGUACGCGGGGCGUACUGCUUGAUGUACGCGGGGCGUACAUCGCCAACCCAUGGAUCGGGGUCUCCACCUGGUACGUUGCGCGUACUGGAAGUUACGCCCAGCAUAACCAUCAGACUUUAGCAUUCCUCAUUCCUGGUCUUAAUCGGUUAAGCCAUUACUCCAACUUCUAGAUCCGGCUCUGUUUAUGCGUCUAUACCCAUAAAGUCGAGACCUUUAAGCCUUGGCAUGGUUGUAAAGGCUCCAACACUUCAUAACAUCACUCUAUUCCAACUCAAGGGCCUAGAUCUCAUGCAUGGUGCAAUGUUCACGACCAAGAUUGCAUUUUUAUGAGUCUACAACUCAAAAUAGACCAGAAAUACGAAGGAUCUAAGCUUAUGAAGACCAUUUGCUCAAAAGUCUCCACCUUUGGGACUAAAACCCUAGAAAAUGGUACAUGAAGCAUAUUACAAGAACUAUAGUACAAGAUCCGAGCUUUUUACCUUGAAAUGAAGCCUCAACCUUUGCUAAGCUCAGAUCUACACUUGAAUACCACUUCUAGCCUUCCCCAAUGAGCUCCUCUUCUCCUUUGCAACCUUGAAAUGGCACCACCAAGCUUAGAAUACUCACAAAUGCCCUAAGAACGGUUGCACACUCUCUUUAGGGUUUCUCUCUGAGGGAUGGUGGCUGAGAAGUCGAGCCACACAUUCCUUUUAUAGCCCUCCAAAAGAAUUAGGGUUUUUAGGUCUAGACCGGUUACGCCCCGCAUAACCUUGGGUACGCCCAGCGUACAUGAGGGUGAACGCGUCCAAAUGAAGCGCACGAGUACGCGCAGCGUACACCUUGUACGACCAGCGUACUCGCUAAUCAUGCAGCCCUAAAAGAGAACAUAAUAAGGAUGAAGGGAUAAUUAGAAGGGUACCUGGUUUUCGGGCUGUUACAUUAUUUGUUCCACAGUACGUUGUAGAUGAGGAGAUAAAGAAGACAAGGUAUCAUGAUAUGCUAUGAGAGAAUAUCAGGGAGUUGGUUUGUUUUUCCGUUUGUUGGACCUUGGAGGACAAGAUAGAUAGAGCUAGAUAGCGGUAGAUUGAUUUGGAGAAAUUUAGGAAGAGGAAGCCAAAGCAGGUACAGACAAAUGGGAGCCCUACAAAGAGACCCAAAAUUUAUGAUCACCGAGUGAGGACCCAGCAGAGCCAAGUUCAGUGCAGCAUGUAUGGGAAGCAACAUGAUGGGGUUUGUCGAUCUAGGGGUAUGGGUUGCUACAAGUGUGGCAGGGUUGGUCAUGUCAGCAGAUAUUGUCCGCAGGGAAAAAUUCUAUUACAUUUCCACUGCAACCAAGUGGGCCACAAGAAGGCCGACUGUCCGAAUUUGAUGAGGGAAGCAGUGAGGGCACCUGCUCCAGCCAUUCUUAGAAUUAUUGAUGGUCAUGAGGGCGGAUUGGAUGUUCCUAUGGUGAUGACCCAAUCAUUAUAAUCAUAGUCCGAGGAGAUCCGAGUUUCACCCGUCGACAUCGCAAGUAUGUGUUGUAUUCACUUCUUUCAUGCCGUUAUUAUUAAUUGUGUCUAUGAUUAUGUGUUUUUGUAUGAGACGCCAGGUGUGGUUUAUUUAUGUUUCCACCUAAGAAUCAGAAUUCUUUUCAUGAUGGACCAGACAUUUUAUUUUGAGAAUAUUCAUAUGCCAUUUUGCAUACCAAGAGUCGAGUUUAGAGGAUAUUCGGGUGAUUCGGUUUUAGAUUUUGAUGUAGGAGGCAUCAACUAUCAUUACAACAAAAUUAAAGUAGGAAAAGAUUAGCAGUCGGUCCCAUCUUUGCUGGUGUCAACAAGAAUUCAAGGAAUCCACAAUAUGGGCAUGUUGGGUUUGAAUGCAAGAUAUGUAGGAGGUUUUCAUGGUUACGAGGCAAUGAGGAAUUGGUUUGAUCAUGGGUGUAAGAUCGGUAGUUAUCAAGUCCAUACCUUCAAAGUGUGGUCAAUUGUAGGUUUGCAUGGGAAUUGCUCUAGUGCAAGUAGGUUGUUGAAUUGGUUGGGUACCCGUUUCUAUAUUUGAGAUGUUGUUCUUCAUCAUCCGAUAAGUCAUUGACGACUUGUAGUGGAGUUAGUGGAAAGUGCUUGGAAUCAUUAAGCUCAUUGAGAUUUCGGGAAGUAUUCAUCUGGUUUUGGAAUGUCUGUGUUUGCUAAGAUUGGCUAGUAUUGGGAUGCUAGUUCUUAUAAGCUUAGGUUGUCGACAGCGUGAACGAUAAAUUUGUGAGAUGGAUUAGAAAUCCAUAAAUUUUGUGGAUUAGAAAGGGCAUAGUCGACCACGUACAAACUUUGAGUACCGUAGACUCUUGAGCUUGCAGUUCACCGUAGAGCUUGUAGAGAGAGAGAGAGAGAGAGAGAGAGUAGAUUUUUUUAUCCCCUUGGACAAUCAUUUUGGCAGUUGUCCAGUGUCUUCCAAGACCAUUUAGAAACUAAAGAUUUGUUUCAUGGUUGCUUCGGAUCGUGCCAGCAUUGGAUAGCUUUGUGACUAUCAGAUUAAACCUUUUAAAGGAAUCCUCCAAACUUUCACCCGCAUGAGCUUUAAAGUUGUUAAACUCAUUGAGUGCAGUAGUAAGUUUUUUGUCUUGAGCUUGUUCAGUUCCUUCAUACAGAUUUUUCAGAACAUCCCAAAUCUCCUUAGCAGAAUUGCAAUUUAUGAUUAUGUCGAAGUUGUCAGGCGCAACUCCACAAGAAAUCUCAUAAAAGGCAACAGCAUCAUUUUCCAUUUUGUCAAGAUCGUCCAUGGUGGGACGAUUCAACGUUUGUUGACCUCUACCUAGUCUGACUGUGGCUGGUUUGUACUGGAGUAAGAACAAGAACAUGAGGUCCUUCUUCUACAUAUCUCCAUAUGUCUCUUCCAAGUUUCCUUAAAUAUCUUUCCAUUCUUUGAGACCAAUUAUGAUAUUCAUUUGCCACAAGUAUUGGUGCUCUAUUCGAACCACCAACACUAUUUGAUACAUUAAGAAAUAAUGCUUGUGCCAUAUUUCCUUGUUUUGAAAAAAAAAAAUUUGUGAGAAGUGAGCUUUAGUGGUAUAGAAGGCUUUUUGAAAAUUAGAGUUUUGCUUCAAAAGGCAACCACUUUGGCUCUGAUACCAAUUGUUGAGAGAAAAACUUGAGACACACUUGAACAAACGUUAGAACAAGUAUAGUUGCGAAAUAGUUUAUUUCAAAGGAUCAUAAAAGCUAAACAAUAAUAAUAAGUUAGAGUUAGAUAAUUUGAGAGUUAGGUGUGGAAAUGUAAGGAAAUAUAAAUGACAGCAGGUGUUAUAUCAAGUAUACACAUAAUUUGAUUCUUAACAAGGUAUGCAUUCAAACCAAGUUAGUAAAUGAGAUCAAACUUAGUGAUUAAGUCAAGAAUGACUUGCUCCGAAGAGAGAUGAUAUCUAGUUGUGAUAUGGUGAAUUUGGAGAGUAAGAAAGAGAUGAGAGUAAUAGCACAAGAUAUGAGAUUUAAGAUGCAAAGUGUUAUCAGAAGAUGUAUAUUUUCUUGAGAAAGAUUGAGUUCUAUAUAUAGAGACUCAAAGGUUACACUUGUUCAUCUAUCUAAAUGUAGCCAUGCAAGGUAUACUGGAUAAAAGAGAGUAUUCUAAGAAAAGCAAAUAAAAAAGCUAAACUAAUAAAAACUAGAUAGUGAACUGUUGAUGAUGAUGACUUCGGAUGUGGUUGCUGACGUAACUUGACUGCGGAUCUUCAAGGGGUUGUGGUAGGUCAAGUUUAAGAGGGUCAUUUUUAUGAUUCAACAUCUUCUUUCAAUCAUGUAUUUGUAUCUCAUUCAGACAUUAUGUUAUGGCAUCAAUGAUUUGGUCGUGUUCCUUUAGAAUCAUUGAAACAUAUAUUGUCUUUUCCUUCCAAUUAUACCCUUUCCUGCUAUUAAUGUUUGUUUUACUUGUGAUCAAGCUAAACUUAACUAGACCAUAUUUUCCUCACAAUGUUACUUAUAUUAAUGCUCCAUUUGAUCUUAUUCAUGUGGAUGUAUGGGGUCCAUACAAACAUCCAAUAUAAUGGAUUCAAUUUUUUUCUUACCAUUGUUGAUGAUCACACAAGGAAAACAUGGAUUCAUUUAUUAAAUCAUAAAAGCUAUGCUUUCACUUUAAUAAAAUCUUUUGUGACCUUUAUUCAAACCCAAUUCUAAGUUACCAUCAAGUGCAUCUGUACUGAUAAUGCAACAGAACUUGGAUCAAGUUUAGAUGGAAAACAAUAUUUUCAAACAUAUGGAAGCAUUCAUUAGAACUCCAUACCUCGUACCCCUCAACAGAAUGGUCUAGUAGAGAGAAAACAUCGACACAUUCUUGAGGUUGUAAGGGCAUUGUACUUUCAAUCUGGUAUUGGAAGUUCUUAUUAAGGAGAAUGUGCAAAGAUGGUUGUUUACAUCAUUAAUAGAAUCCUUUCGAAAUUUAUCAACAACAAAUCCCCUUAUUAGUUGUUGUAUAAUAAGGAGCCUGAUUUUCGGUCAUUAAAAGCAUUUGGAUGCCUUUAUUAUGUAUCUUCUUUAUAUAUCAACAGAGAUAAAUUCAUGAUCAGGGCCCAUCCUUGUGUUUUUAUUGGAUAUUUAAAUGGUCAGAAAGCAUUCAAAGUACUUAGUUGGGUUAAUCAUACCAUUUAUGUCUCAAGAGAUGUCAAAUUUAUUGAAAAUAUUUUUAUCCUCUUCAUGCCAUCAAACAACUAUCAUCUACUUCUUAUAUCCCACACACUUCAAAAGAUAUAGCAAAUUCACAAUCCAUACCACAACCUAAUUCCAGAACAGACUAUACUUUCCUUCAUGUUCUAAUCUCAUCUUAAAAGGUAGCAUUUCUAGCUACAAGCAACUAUCACGAUACCUCUACCGGUCACUUUGAUUAUUUUUUAUUUCAAUCUUCCGGCUUAAGUCAGAUGUUACAUCAAACUUGGUUCUCGGAACCACGUAACAUACUCAUCGUAGUCGGAAUCAAUUUGGUAUGACCACUAGGGUCGGAAUAACAACAAUCUUCUUAGUCAUUACCGAAACAAUGGUAAUGACAUACUUGAAUAAAACGGUAUCAAUUACUAGCUUCUUGGUAACCUUGUGACUUUUUCUGAUCCAAGUGUGAGUCUUGUGCUUCCGGUAGUAUAGGCCUCUACUACCUUUCACACCUACUCAUACCCGUCCCAAGUAUUGUCUCGCAGUUCAUUAUCACAAAAACAAUUUUAACACAUACAAAUGUGUCCAAACAAUCAUAUAAUAAUUUUUUUUUCUAAACUCUACUAGGACUUCUUCCAUGCGUAUCUUCAAUCAUCAAUUCUGCUUCAACUUGGUUGGUGAUGGAAAUGUCAAACGAUGGGACAACUUCGGGAAUUACGCCAAUCGUCCCAUCAUCUCUCCAAUCGAAGGUGUACUUCGGACAUAUCGUACUCCUCUAAACGUACUGUCUGACAUAUUCUAAAGGCAAGAUAUCACUCUUACAAUAUCUUCUGAUAGAUGUCAUUCACUAUCAUAAGCCAUUUCAUUUCCUUUAUUUACUCAAUUCUCUAUGAGUCUUCACCAUGACGUUAUUUUCACGGAAGCAUGCAUUUAUUGAAUCGAGAUGAGAAUAUAGAUAUAGAAGAUGUGGAUGUGUAAUCCUCCUUAUUACUCCGAAAAGUUACAUGCUAGUUCUAAUACCGUAAUUAAACGUUUAGAAAUCUAAACACAUAAAAUUUCCAGAUCCGGUCAGCAACAGACCAUAGAUCCGAUCAGACGAUAGCAUAAAGCAUCACAAAUCAUUUAGCACAUAAAAGCAUUUUAGGCAUCUUCCCUAAUUAAGCUAGUGCUUGUGUCUAUUCAGGUGCACUUCCUAAAAUAUAUUAGACACACCCCUCACGAUCAUCGCUUAGCAUUCUAAGUUUAAGUCUAGAAAUAAAUCAUUAUUCCUAGUUCGCUUAAACUAAUGCUCCGAUACCAACUAUGACAUCCCCAUUUUCACGACCAGAAAAGACCGAUUUUGUUUAUGUUUUAUAAAAAUCAGAGUACCUCUUUAAUAAAAAUGUUGCGGAAUUUGUUCCCAGUAAAACAUGAUAAAUACGUUAUCAAAUACUUUCUGAAGAAAAAUAUUUUUAUUCAUUUUAAAACAUUUGGGAUGUCAUCAUCAAUACAGAAACAUAAGCAUAAACAGAACUUACAUUCAUUAUCACUAGUGAUUUAUAUCUCCUUAAUCUUUCAGUAUAAUGUGACUUCAUAUCAACACAUGUGAUAUAAAUAAACUGAGUGGGUCAGGUUGGGAAACCUGGUGAGUACAUAGGGAUUUCAACCCACCAUAAUAUAAUUAUUAUGUUUAAACAUCAAACAAUCAACCCAAUUACUCAUCCCCGUUAUCUUCUUUACUCUUAAGGAUCUACCCUAAGAAUCAAUUAUUCCUCGUUCAUUUAUUCCUAAGGAUCAUCCUAAGGUUUUGGCACGAAGUCCAUCGUUACCAAGGUUUAUAGAUUACAACCGGUGAACACGUAGUCCAAACAUCUGGUAAACACUUAAUUCAAAAAUACCUAGUGAACACACUCAGUUCAAAAUACCUAGUGAACACACUCAGUUCAAAAAUACUUAGUGAACAAACUCAGUUCAAAAUACCUAGUGAACACACUCAGUUCAAAAAUACAUAGUGAACACACACAGUUCAAAUAUACCUAAUGAGCACCUAGUUCAAAAACACCUACAGGUUACGAGCCUAUUAGCGUUCCACUGGACUGUCUAGUAUAGUCCGUGGUCGUCAUCUAUACUCCACUAGAUGACUAGAUCACUGUCAACAUUGAUGUCUUUCACCGUGUUAUCACACAGCAACUAUUUCAUCUACCCAUCUUUUACCCAACACAUUUUGUAGAUAUAAAAUACAUAUACAGUUUAAAUCAUUUAAAACAUGUAUAAAAAUCUUUCACCCAGCAUAGACAACAAGUAUUCAGACAAUAUGCACACAUAGCAUGUAAUUUAUAUUAAAAUACUUCAUAUCUAUGUGUAAGAUGAAAGGGACUAUGCACUCACUUGUUAAGGUGGUGACUCGGCACUCGGACAGCACUUCGUUACUCUUAACACAAUUUUCCUCGGACAAAACCUAGUAUCAUUAUCACUAGAGUUUAGUCUAACAUUCACCGAGAGUAAUUAAUUGUCUAGCUAUUAUUACUAUUAUAUAAGCGUUAAAGGGUACUUAUAUAACCCAUAAUAAUAGCCCAAGUACUUAUUAUAAGAUCCUAAUAACAUUACUAUAUUAAAACAUAAGUUAUACUAAAGAUAGGUUAGGCGUAGCUCACUUACAACGGAUUUUUCUCAAACCUGGGCUUCGCUGGAGCAGCAUUUCCGAGCCGAAAGGAUCUUCUUCUCCGAGCCGUCGGGCGCUCCGGGGCUUUCGCCUCGUGCUAGGGAGUUACCCUAGGCUUUAGGGGGGUUUGGGGGCUUAGAGGGAGAGUCUAGAGAAAGAAAGUUGUGGUGAAUUUGUGAAGAAAAGAAGCUGCCUUUGCAACCUAUUUAUAGGCUGAAUUGGGGUCACUCACCUCAUGAGUUUUUAGUGUUCACCUCGUGAGCUUGCUUAGGCUAUGAGGCAAAGCCUGGUGCUGACACGUGGCAUCGCACACAAGGUGUAAAUCAUCCGAUUUUCAAAAAUUCAUAACUUUCGCAUACGAGCUUCAUUUUCGACGUUCUUUAUAUCCACGCGUAGUUAAAAAUAAGAUCUACAACUUUCAUUUAGGCUCCGUCAGCUAAUUCUCGACCGACUUAAAUUUAAUAGUAGGAGGAGAUUAUACUGUUAAGUGUCCGCGUAAAAUUCAUAACUUCUACAUACAGACUCCGUUUUCGUCUGUCUUUUUAUCGUUGAGUUCCUAUUAAUGAGAUCUUCAAAUCUCAUUUAGAUCGCGUAGGCCAAAAACCGCUCGAACUAAAAUUCGAGUUUCGGGCCAUGCACUGUUAUACCAAAUCUUAGAAAAUUCAUAACUUCCUGAUACGAAGUCAGAUUUGAGCGUUUUUUUUUAUAUGUUCUUGGUUUAACGUAUACUAAAACUUUUGUUUAUAUUAAUAAGGCUAAAAAGUCAUUUAUCAAAAAUUCACUAUUUAUGUCUCCCGGUGCCGUGCCGGUUUUGCCGUAAAACUUCAACGGGUNAAUCAACAUAUAUAGGUUUAGAUAUUACACAUUGAUACCCUCUAUUCUAUAAUAUAUUGAUUUGUGUCUAAUAUAUAUAUAUAUAUAUAUAUAUAUAUAUAUAUAUAUAUGUUAGUUAGAAAUCAGUUAUGUACAAGGGUAUUUUUGUAAUUUACCAGAUAUUUUAGUUUGCUAGCUCUCUUUAUGUAUAAAUGUUGUUGAUUGUGUAAUCGUUUUCUUAUAAUUUCUUUGUUCUUUCAAUUCUCUCAAGAUUACAAGAGUUGCACAUAAAUCAGAUUAAAAUCAGUACGGAACGGUUUGGGUUUCAAACUUUUGCCAAACUUGAUUUUGGUGUCUGAAUUUAACAAAAUUUGCAUGUUGAUCAUAAAUGGGUUAAAAAGCAAUUUUCAAUACUUUGUCAUGAUGUAAUGUUUUUUCGGCCAUUUGGCAAUAAGAAAGAGUAAAACCGAGCCAAUAACUGUUCAUUCCAUAGAAGAGAGUUGAAUAACAAGCAUGGGGAUCUUAAAUACAAAUAGCAUUCAUUUUAGUACACCAUAAUUUACACACACACACACACACAAAACUCACAAACCCUAUAAAUUUUAAGAUCGGCUCUUGAAAGGAAUGGCCCUGAUGACUAUCUGAUGAUACAUAGCAGCAAGUGCAGCUCCAAUAAAGGGUCCAACCCAGAAGAUCCACUGCAAAUUUCCAAAAAGACACAAUUACCCUUUUAGAACAUAUUCAUCGUAAGUCCAUUUGUUUAUUCAAAAUCCAAUCUUGAUGUGUGUUUAAUUUAUUAUGUAAAUAAAUGGCUUACUUGGUCAUCCCAUGCAUGGUCCUUGUUGUAGAUGAUUGCAGCUCCAAGACUUCUUGCAGGGUUGAUACCAGUUCCGGUGAUGGGGAUGGUGGCUAAGUGAACCAAGAACACUGCAAACCCGAUUGGGAGAGGAGCAAGAAUCUGAAAAAGACGCAUUUACCCUUUUAGAACCUAAUGUUUAAACCUAACCCUAAUCCAACCAUUGUCUAAUUUUGGGGUAGGGCUUAGGUCCUAGUAUCUUUUGACACAUGUAUUCUCUCAUUGCCUUUAGCUUUUCUAUAUUUAUAGUGAAUUGACAGAAAUGACCUUGCAUUUUAAGCUAUCUAGAACAAAUGAUGACAGAGAAAAAGCAUUAAUGCACUAACAAACAUAAAGAGAAAUGAAGUGCACAUGAAACCAUCAUCAUCACUAACAUGCCAAAACAAAAGAAGAUAGAGACGUAAAGUUACUUGCCUAACUUUACAAGAUUCUCCCAACAAGAAAAAAAUAACAUAAAGGGCAGUAUAGUAAUUAUCCAUAAAGUAAUUAAACAUACUUUUGCAUAAACAAUGAGCCUUAUCUUUAAAACCACUAGUUGGGUAGUGUCAAAAAUAGCAUUACUUUUUCCGAAUCAAAUUGAACACUAAGAUAAUCAAGAUUUCUUUAAUGGCAUAUACCACUCACCAAUAAAUGCAUCAAUUUCAAAUCUGGGACGUUGUUUUAAGUUAAAAUUACUUAUUUGCCCAUGGUGGUAGUUCAUAUCGCCAUCAAAAGCAGUUCAAUUCUUUCAAGAUCGAAUCCAUAACCAAGAAAUCAACAUUUUUUAAAGAACGUGACCGAAUUAGGAUGCCAUAAGAAUCAAAAUUGCAGUAAUUCCUAUCCUUGGUGUCGUUUUUUUAAGUUGAAAUUACCAAUCUGCCCAGUGCCCAUGACGGUGGUUCAUAUGGGCAUAAAAAAGCUCAAUUCUUUCAAGAUCCAAUUCAUAACCAAAAAAAUCAAGACUUCGAGACCCAUAAAACAUUCAAGUCGCAGCAUUUUAUCAGUUUAGUAGGCUAAAUUACUUAUUUGCCUGUGCUGUUGGUUUGAAUAUGCACAAGAUUUCUCUUUUUUGAAGGGCAUUUAAGACAAACGACCAACUACAAAAGCAACGAUAAAAAGUUAUGAAAAGAGUAUAUACAUACAGGAACAUGGGAGUCUCUGGCACUUCUCUUAGCAUCAGUAGCAGAAAACACGGUGUAAACAAGAACAAAAGUGCCAAUAAUUUCAGCACCAAGACCAUCGCCUUUGGUGUAGCCAUGGGCUACGACAUUGGCUCCACCACCCAAAGUGGUGAACUGGUUUUUGCCCUGAAAACCUUUGACCACACCUGCACCACAUAUGGCUCCAAGACAUUGCAUAAUCAUGUAGAACAAUGCUCUUGUUAGAGAUAGCUUUCUUGCUAGUAAUAAACCGAAGGUCACUGCUGGGUUGAUGUGUCCUCCUGUUUUAGAUCAAUAAAGAAUAUGUUUGAUUAGUAAAGAUCGGGUUUUUUUAGGGUAAUUACAAGAACCCAUGUCGUAUAAAGAAAAAUAGUGGUUGAUUUGAAGUGGGUUUGUAGAAAAUGUAUCGAUAUUGAUUAUUGAAACCGAAAGAAUAGAAGUUGGACUUAUCAGGGGUCGAAAAGAAAAUUUUCUUAAAAAUAUGUGUUCAAUUCAAGAAAAUGUUGGGCUUAUUAAAGCACGUUGUUUUUUGGAAAAAUGAAGUUUAGAGUCUAUUGACAAUUUGAUGGUGUUUGAAUUUUUAUUUGAAUGUGAUAAUGGAAUGUUGAAGCUGUUAUCAAACCGAUUAUUAAACCCAUAAAUAAUCAGAUAAUCACCUUCAGACAAAUAGAUCAAGACGAUUAAAUACUAAAAAGAUGUUAUGAAGUUUAAAAAUCAUGAAAAAAAUUCAAAAUUUCUGAAGCGGACCAUCGAGAAAUCUAAACCAAUCACUCAAGAAAAAAAACCCAAAAAAAUUAUACAUUUGUUAGUUAUACAAAAUAGAAAAUAAAAAAGAUUUUAAUACAAGUAUUUUGUGGAAACAAAAUCAUGAAAAAUAUAUGAAACUCCAAAGCAUCCCAUCAAGAAGAUAUAAAAUUGUGCUAAAUUAAAACUUUUAACAUAAAUAAAACACACACACAUGUUUUUGAUGGUUUUACAAUAUAAUACAGUUUUUGAAACAAAGGUUUUGAAAAAAAAAAUCAUGAAAAACAGAAAAUAUGAAGCAAACCCCAUCAAGAACAUCAAAAAAAGUCCUUAAACAGUCAACAUAAAGCUAAAACUAUGCUAAAUUAACACCUAAACCAUAAAGAAAACACCAAAAACACAUGCUUUUGAUGUUUUACUAUUAAAAACAGACAUGGGUUUUGUGAAAAGAAUCAUGAAAAACAUUCAAAACUGUGAAGAUCUAAAACGUUCACUCCAUCACUAAAUCAACACUUCAAACAUAAACAAAACUACAAAGAACACAUGAUACUUUUUAAAAGCAGAAUUUGAAACAAGCUAGGGUUUUGUAGAUGAUAUAUAUACCUGAGAUACCAGCAGUGCAGUAGACAAGGGCAAAGAUCAUACCCCCAAAAGCCCAAGCAAUACCUUGAAUACCCACAGUCCCACAUUUGGUAGGAGAUUUAGCGACACCCAUAACAGUCAACACAGUGAUGUACAAGAACAAGAAAGUCGCGAUGAAUUCAGCGAUUCCAGCUCUGUAAAACGACCAUGACGACAACUCUCCGGGCUCAAACAGCGGCGCCGGUGGUGGUUCCUUGUAAUCUUUGUCAGUCUGAGCUGAUGUUCCGAUGGGUUGUCUCUCGGAAAACUUGUUCGCUCCGAGCUUAACAUCUUCUUCCUUCCCCUCCAUUGUUGCUCAAACCUCUCUCUCUUUCUAUUCUCUCUCUCUCACACACAGACACACACCUGGUAGUGAGGUUGUGAAGAGGAAGGGUGGUGUUAAAGGGAUUUUAUAGGUGAGAAGUCAUCAUUUUAGCUUUAGAAAGAACCAGAGGGGGUCGGUAAAGGGUAAUUGUUGUCAUUUAUCGUUUUAUGAAAUUCAAACGUUUUUGUUUGAGUUUUGUGAAGUGUCAUUUGUAUUAUUCUUUUAUGGGAUAAUGUCGUAUAACAAAAACUUUUAUUAAAAUAAUAUAUUAAAUCAUUUUUUAUAGUUCUUUUUACGAUUUUAUAUAUGAAAAUGGAAGAGUAGUGUUUUAAAUCAUUUUUAUAGUUCUUUUUACGAUUUUAUAUAUGAAAAUGGAAGAGUAGUGUUUUAAAUCAUUUUUAUAGUUCUUUUUACGAUUUUAUAUAUGAAAAUGGAAGAGUAAUGUCUGAUUUUAAAAAGUUCUAAUCAUUGAUCUAGAAAUUUGACAGUAAUAGCAUUAUGCUUGAAGUAUUCUAUGUUUUUUUUUAUUAUAACAUGCUCUUAUCCACCCUACACUCUCAUUAUUAAUCUGAAUUUUAAACAUUUUAAUUGAUUGUGUUCAUUAUUAUCAAUGUAACAUGAAGGUUAAUUUAGUAAUUUAGAGACAUAAACUUUAUGUUUUCGACAAAUAAACAAAUUACAGAUCGGUACUUGUGAUUAAACAUAUGAUCCAACUCAUCAAUUUUUAUAAGGCCUUCAUAUUAGGUGAUAAUUAACAUAUAUUUAAAAUACAAAUUAUGAUUAUUCAUCGUUUCUAUAUAUCAUCAAUCUAUCUAUGACUAUAUAAAGCAACUUGAUCCAAAAAAUUUGACAAAACGUUCACUUUAAACAAAAAAAACCGUUCAAUAGUAUGAGCUUUUAGUUUUUUAUUUAAGCAAAAAAUUCUAAAACUAAAAAAUACUUCAUAUAGCGUUUAUGAGAAAUUUAUUUAACUUUUAGAAUUAGUUUUCAUAACUGUCCUUAAAAAUAUAUUUAUAUAUUUAUCUUUUUUAAACAAUUGUUUUAUUAUGUAAUUUUAUACAUUCAAAAAGUUUGUAACUAUUUUUAUCAAACACUCAUAUAACAAAUAAAAGUUAUAAUUUCCAGCUUCCAGCUAUUAGCUACCCGCUACCCGUUACCAACUACCAGUUAGUUUUGUCAAACACACCCUAAAUCUCGAACAUCUAAUUUAUAUUUGGAUAAUCAAAUUCACAAUUAUUAAUUCAACAAUUAAAACCAUUUAGGUUAUGCUGGAAAAAAUAGAUUUCUCUAUUUUCGAAAAAUAGGGUUUUACCAUUUUUGAACACAAAUUCAAAACCUGGUUCAUUAUGGAAAUGGAUAAACAAUUAUAUAUUUGUGUUCUCCUCCAUAAUACUUUCUUUUUUUAAUAUAUUAUAUGUCAAAAUCAGAAUUAAAACUGAUGAAAAAUUUAAUAUUUAAAGUGAGGUAGUUUGAUAAAUUAGAUAAAUAAUAUUAAUUAAUUUAAGUCAUCCAAUAUAGAUCGGGGGAGGAAAAAUGUGAAUAUAAUCAAUAUAUAAAUAGAAAGGUUUCUUGGCCUUAUAAAACCUAUACCACUAAGGCUCAUGUUAUUUUUGUUUCUAUGUUUUUCUGUUACUAUUGUUAAUGUAUCCCACCGAGAAUACGUCAAAAAUAACGGAAUUGUCAGACAGUUUGGACAAAGACCAGCGUAUGCCUAACGUCAAAGUCAGUGUCGAGACAAAAUAGUACCAGCCGCCCCUCGGAGCGAUAGGUGUACCACUCAAAACGUCGCACCUGGCAGCCCUGCACCAAUGGUAAGAAACUACGCACGGAGCACGAUCUACCAAUCAAAGGUCGUCUUCUCAUGUCACUCCUGAAAAGGUAAAAGAUUUUGUCGGGGAUUUAUUCCCCCGAUCACAGGUAUAAAAAGGUCCCUUCUCCUCAAAGAGAGGGGACCGUGAAAAAAAUAUAUGAACCCUUACCUUAUAUUUUCACCUUCUCUCUAAAAGGAAAACUUACUUGGUCAUUGGAGCUUCGUUCCGGGACUCCCUGAUGAAAACUGACAAGCUUGUUUCCUUUGUUGUGAUUCCCAGGCCCUCUAUUCCCUUCUUCGAAGAGACGGAGUCAAGUCGGAGGCUUAUCAAAACAACUAUCAAGGUAAAAUAUGGGCUUCGCUAAGUUUUUUUAGUUGUUGUACUUGAAAAACAAACUACAUUACCAUAAUACAAUUCCUAUGUGUUAUUUGGAAAAUAUGAUUUGGGUUUGGUUAUUCAUGUUUGGUUAUUAAACAAUCAUGUAUGAUAUAACUCAUAAAAAAAUAAAAUAAAAAAAUAAAGAUAUAUUACUCAAGUUUUGGGGAGGACACAGUUUAAGAUACAAAAACUUGAAACCUAACAAUUAAGGCUAUGUAUUUUUUGUAAAACUAAAUAACUAGUUGCUAGUCAAUAAAAAUAACAUUCGGUAAAACUAGCUGAUAAGAAAGCUUAAAUAUGUGAAAUGACAUAAAAAGACAUGUAGAAAAUUAAGUUUUUCUGUAAUUAAUAAAUAUUAUAUUUGGAAGAAUUUUAAAAAAAUCAAUAAACCCAUUCAAACGCUAAUCUGGAGACCUGUUAAAAAACUAGCUUAUAAACAAUUUUUUGUUUACCAAACAUAACAAACUAAAAAAUCAAAAAAUAUUAAUGAUUUUUCAUUUGAUUUUACCAAGAAAUCAAACCAGGUUUGAAUAACCAAAUCCAAAUAACAAGAUGGGUUAAUUCCAUAAAAGCUUUAAGUUUUCAAGAAAUUAUUGUUUUUACCCUUUUGCGUCAUUUAGGUUGUAAAGCCGAAAGUUUGUAUUUUUUUCACAUUUACCCUUUUUGUCAGUUAAAAAGGCUACAUGUCGGUCAUCAGUACAUUUGGCGCUCCAUGCAUGUAUGCAUGAGUAGUUAGUUCGGAUGACGUGACAGCCGAUGUGGGGCCACGUCAGCUUGGAGAAAAACAUGAAGGCGCAUAUGAAACAUACAAUUGAACUUGUUGUGACCUCACAAAGAGAGGGUCGUCCCCUUAUCCACCAAUAUAGAAAGAGUUUGAUGAACAAAUAAAGGAAAUAAAUGAAACUUUAAUUUAGUAAUUUCGAAAUUGGAAAGAAAUUCCAUUAAUGAAAUUGUUAUAUAUAUAUAUAUAUAUANNNNNNNNNNNNNNNNNNNNNNNNNNNNNNNNNNNNNNNNNNNNNNNNNNNNNNNNNNNNNNNNNNNNNNNNNNNNNNNNNNNNNNNNNNNNNNNNNNNNNNNNNNNNNNNNNNNNNNNNNNNNNNNNNNNNNNNNNNNNNNNNNNNNNNNNNNNNNNNNNNNNNNNNNNNNNNNNNNNNNNNNNNNNNNNNNNNNNNNNNNNNNNNNNNNNNNNNNNNNNNNNNNNNNNNNNNNNNNNNNNNNNNNNNNNNNAAAGCAGAAUUUAAAGCAAACAACGACAAAAUAAAGGGUUGUAGACGUUUACAAUGUACACACAUGCACCGGAUUAUAACAAAACUUACUUUUUUUAGUUUAAUUUUUUGUCAUGUUUUUUAUCGAAAAAAGCGGAAUAUACCAUUGUUUAUUAUUUUUCGGCCUCCUUCCACAGAGAUCUAUAUUGAUAUAUAAAAAAUUAAUUUUUUUUUCAAAAAACUCACUAAAUUUUCUUUAUUUUUUGAAAAGUUAAGGUCUAUCUUUUAUCAAAAAAAUUAAUAAAUAUAUCAAAAUUAAUAUUUUUUGGUACUCUUUAAAGAUAGAUUCAUAUGAAUGUUUUAAAAAAUCAAAAUUUCAGUUCAGAUUCACAUUGUGAAUCUGCUCAUAUUCACAGUGUGAAUAAUAGUAUCUCAGAUUCACAUUAUGGUUCUGAAAACUAAAUUAUAUACAGUUCAGAUUCACAAUAUGAAUAAGUACAUUUCUUGAUUUUACAAAACUAAUUUAUGUGUAACCAAAACGUUAAAAUAUUAUAUACUAAAUGGAAUUCGAUAGAUAUAUAAAUUUAACUUAAUUUAUGAAUGAUCAAAUAGUUGAAAUAGUAAGUCAUAUUCGCAUUGUGAAUGUUACAAUUGAAAUAUUUACAGUUUAGAUUCACAAAGUGAAUCUAAAUUGAUCGAGUUUUUUUAAUAGAAGACAAAAAAUGAGAUUUUUGGUAUAAUUAGUUUUUGAAAAAAAAUAAACUUAAAUAAUGAAAAAAAAAAGUUUGUUUUUUAUAUAUUAACAAGGAUCUUUGUGGAAAGUAGACGAAAAAUCGUGAACAACGGUAUAUUCAGUUUUUAUUUUAUUUUUUUGAUUAAAAAACAUGGCUUAAAAAAAUUUAAACUAAAAAAAUAGAUGAGUUUUUUGGUAAAGAGGAGGUUUAUGGUAUAAUAUGGUAUAUGUACGUCCAAUAUGCAAAUGUACAUCUGUUCCAUUAGCCGUUAAUCAUUAUGAUUUUGGAAGUUCACAGGCUAUGACCUUCUCGUUUCUAUUUUUAUGCCUUCAUUUUCUUAUCAUUAGUUUUAGUUAAUAUGUAUAAAAUGGCAGACUUAAAUUAACAAAAUCCAUCACAGGCUAGUUGUUAAGUUGUUUAGCGUUUCAUAUGGCCAGGAUUCGUAUUUCUAAAUUGUAUUUAUAGCUUUAAUAUUGUAUAAAGAGGUUUCAUAAUAUACAAAUAAGUUUGUAUAGAUAUACAAACAUACUUAUGCAAUUUAUUCGUUGAAAAAAAUGUAUGUAUACAUAUUCCUUAUCUAUUUAUAGAUUUAAAACAUAUUUAUGCAUAUUAAAAACGUAUUUAUAUGAAUUUAUAUAAUUUUAAAACGAAUUUAUAUAUUUAUAUAAUUUUAAAACAUAUUUAUAUGUAUUUAAAUAUGUUUAUAUAUUUUUAAAACAUGUUUAUAUGUAUUUAUAUAUUUUUAAUAUAUAUAUANUAUAUAUAUAUAUAUAAUGAAUAAUUACAUAUACACAUAUUUAUAUACCUGUACAAACUUAUUCAUAUCUAUUAUGAUACAUUUUUACCUACCUUUAAAUAAUUUGCAAUUAGAUUACGACAUCCCUGUUCUGAAUUGUGAAUUAUUUAAUUGGAUCAUAGCCUUGAUAUUUCGUUUGUGUGUUAUAUUAAGGAUCUCCUUAUCUAAUCAAAUCUUAUCCUUUUUCUUUUUUCAGGUGUCAACUUCAAACAAUGUUUCUGGCUACGCCAACAACAACUCCAACCACUUCUCGCUCUUGAGCAUUUCUUCGAAGGUCACCUUUGAUGGUUCUAAUUUUAAUGAUUGGAUCUAUAACAUCACAAUGGCCUUGCGCUUCGAGGAUAAGGAAUACUUUCUCGAAAAUGUGCUUAACGAGAUUAAUGAAACUAAAUCAACUCUCGAAGAAAUUUAUGAAUAUAGGAGACACUACAAUGAUGCUACCAACGUGUCAUGCAUCAUGGUGGCUACUAUGACUCCCGAACUGCAAAGGUUCUAUGAGGACUAUUGGCCUUAUGAGAUGUGCAAGUACUUAAUGGAGAAGUAUCAUCAACGAGUCUAUCAAGAAAGGUACGAAAUAGUCAAGUCACUCAUAACCAGCGAGAUGAAGGAUGGAGAGUCCGUUACGACCCACUUGCAACGCAUUUAACGUUAUGUGGAUCGUCUGUUGAAACUCAAUGUUAACUUUGAUGACUAAUUGACUAUUGACAUAGUCUUGCACUAAUUGCCUAGCUAUUAUGAUCAGUUUGUUAUGACUUAUCAUCUGAACAAGGAGGAAACUACAUUGAGUCAACUCCAAAGCUUCUUGAGAACUGAAAGACCCUAACUUUCGUAUUUAUGAAAGACCCAAACUUUCAUACUCGACAAUAUAGUUACUCCAAAACAUGCUACUUGCAUAUUCAUAAAAACAAUAUUUUACAUUGAUAAAGAGAUUACAAACUACUGGAUACAAACCGACUAUUUUAAAGUGUUAUAUAUUACAUAACUUCCCAGGAUUCUAUAGUUUUAUACAUAUGGGAGUGCAAAAUACGAUAGUUUCAAACUACUCAUAAGCUUCUAUCGAUACAAUAUGUAACGCCUGUGUUUCCGGGCUUGCCAUAUUUAGCAAUAUAAUAGUUUAGGUUAACCUUUGUAACCCGUUUUGAAAUAAUAAGAAUGUAUUAUUUGAGUAUUAUGUGUUUUGUGCUUAAUUGCUUAAUUACGUGGUCUGAUUAAUUAAGAACAAAAAUAAGCGUCAAAAUUUAAGUGUGAAAUAAACUUAAUAUCUUUGGUUAAUGUUGUAGUAGUCGAAACGAGGUUUCCGAAUAUAUAUAGAACGCCCAAAUCUGACUUCGUAUGAGGAAGUUAUGAUUUAUCGAAGUUCCGGCUUAGCGGUAUACAGCCUGUUAUACUCGAAUUGAGAUCGAGCGGUUGUUAGCCGAAGCAAUCUAAAUGAGAAUCGAAGAUCUCAUUGUUGGUAUCGAAGCGAUAAAAAGUUAGGCGAGAACGGACGUCAAACGAAGAAGUUAUGAAUUUAUAACGAAAGUUUCUGUCGCGGCCUAUUAAAAAUAAUUAAUAAAAAUAAAGUCAAAAUUAGCCGACGGAGUCUAAACGAAAGUCGUAGAGCGUGGUCUCACCUUCGCGUGGAUAUAAAGAACGUCGAAAACGGAGUUCGUAUGAAGAAGUUAUGAAUUUCCGAAGUUUAUUAAUCAUUUUAUAUUUUUAUUUAAUUCAAAAUCGGAGGCAUUAUCCGAAGCCGUGUCACCGGUGUAAUCCGGAGUACGCCCCGCGUACGAGGUUACGCUAUCGCGUAACUCCGAUAGUGUCGACACUUCGGAUGACGCAUGCAAUGACGAUUUCGGACGCGUACGCGCUGCGUACGCCUGUACGCCCCGCGUACUCCGAGGUUCCAGCCUCUAUAUAAAGGAUCCGAAGGCAGCCUCAUUUCUUGUUCAUUUUCUUCUCUUCUCUCUAGUCUUUUGCAUCGUUUUUCGUGCCGAAGCUACCCCGAAGCCCCGGUAUCAUACUCUAGCCCCGAGGCAAGUCCCGAGAUCCCGAAGAUCCCGAGAAGCGCGGUUCCCGAGUCGAAGCUCUGCCCGCGAGAAGUUCGAUUUUCGAGGAGAUCUUCCAGAUCUGCUGUGGAUUACUACUUCUAUAAGCCGUAGUGCUGUCGGAUCGUCUUCUGAUCAAGUGAGUGUGUAGUUAUUUCUUCUAAUACAAUAAUACGAAGUAUUUUAUAUAAAAAUACGUGCUAUGUGUAUAUAUUUGGUUGUGUUAUGUGUGAAUGAGUAUUCACUCUCUUCUAUCUUAUAGAUCUGCUUAUUUCUUUAUGAGAUAUGUGUUAUGUGUGUGUGUGCCUCAUCUGUUAUGUGAUAUAUGUGUUGAUUAAAGCAUGCUAUACAGGUUUUCUUUAAACUAUGUAUACAAAUGUAUAUUUUUAUCUACUAAUAUGUUGGGUAGAACAUGGGUAGAUAGUUGGUGUGUAAUAAACAGAUGAGAGGCCUCGAUGUUGUUGUUGUUGUUGAUCUAGUUAUUCAGCGGAGUAUGGAUAACGACCACAGACUCUUUCUAGACAGUCCAGUGGAACGCUAGCAGGUUCAUAACCUGUAGGUGUUGUGAACGAUGUGUUCACCGGUGUACUCUAUCCCCCUCAUGGUUGCCUUUAGGAUAUCUAUUGUUGAGGAAACCCCUUGUAGUGAUGUCCGUCCCGAUGAAAAUCCUAGAUUAGGUCCCUUGAGAUAGUUGUUUAGGGACGUAAAGUGAGGAUAACGGGAAUGGGUAAUCGGGAUAGUGAUUGGUUGGUGAAAUUAAAUAUAACUUAUUUAUUGUGGGUUGAAAACCCUAUAUGCUCACCAGGCUCCCAAGCCUGACCCACUCAGUUUUAUUUGUAUUACAGGAAGUGGCACAAGGGCAUAAGAUGAAUGGAUCAUCUUGUUGUUUUGUUUACAAGUCUGUAUAUGUAUAUAUUUGUUGAAUGACUUGUAAUGUUUAUCGUUUAUGCUUUAUGGUCUGUAUCGGAACAUGACAUCCCGAGUUUUGAUUAUAUAAUGAAAUGCAUCUCUUGAUGAAAUGCUUUGAUAAAUAUUAUUUUAUCAUGUUUUGUUUUUGGGAACAAAUUCCGCAACUCUUUCAAAUCAAAAGGAUUUACUCUGAAAAUUAUUUAAAAGCAUAAAUGAAAAUCGGUCUUUUCUGGCCGAGAUUUUGGGGAUGUCACAUAGUAAGCGUAGCUUAACUUACAGAGAGUUCCAGCAAAAACCAAGAAGUUGCACUGGAAAAACUCUGAAACCGAAAGCUCCUACUUGUCGGGCUCCUAGAUACUCCAGAACCUCGCUAAUUUUCUCUAAAACCCAAAAAUAUAGGGCUUGAGGUGAAAAGGUCUCCAGAGAGUUUUUGGAGUGAAGAAGGGGUGAGGGACAACUAAAAUUGCAAAAACUCUAUUUAUAGCAUGGAGUGCGCCGCGCCUAUCUACCACGCGUUUCGGGCCCUGUGGUAGGUGGGUUGGGUGGGCCGCCUGCUACCACGUGUUCGCUCCUGGGCCUCCCAUGUCGGGUAAAAUUGUAGAUCUUCUAAAAAUCGUAUCUCUCUCAUACGGUUUCCGUUUUCGGUGUUCUUUAUAUCCAAGCGUAGCUAUCGACGAGUACUACAACUUUCAUUUAUACUCCAUUGGCUAAUUCUAGCCCAACUUAAUUUUAACAUUCUGAGAAGAUUAUACUGUUAACGACCGUGUAAAAUUCAUAACUACGUCAUACAGACUCCGUUCUCGAUUGUCAUUAUAUCGACGGAAUCAUAUCGACAAGAUCUUCAACUCUUGUUUAGAUUGUAUUUCCUAACAAUCGACCCAUCUUAAUUCCGGUUUCUAUGUCGCACACAUUUAUGCUGAAUCUUCGAAAAAACAUAACUUCCUCAUACGAAGUCAUAUUUGGGCGUUCUCUAUAUGCACGCUCUUGGUUUUACGACUACUACGACUUUUGUUUAGAUUGUUUAGGCUAAUAAGUAACCUAUCUAAAAUUCACUUUUUACAACACGCAAAGUAAUGUCGGUUUAAUCGCGAAACUUCGAAGAAACAUAUUUUCUUCAUACAAAGUCGGAUUUAAGCGUUCUAUAUAUAUUUAUGGAAAUCGUAUCGAUGUCUUCUACGUUUUUAUGACGAUUAUUUUGGCCAAAAAUCAUAUAUUUCUAUUUCGAAUUUUAUAAACAAUGGUUUAUAUUGAAUCUUACUGAAAUGUGAAAACUGAAUGUUACAGCUAACAUGUCAAAAGCACAAAAUUAAAAAUAUAUAUUCUAAAAGAUACACACAUGAACAUAAAUACAUUAUCCAUAUAUAUACACAUAAAUACAUACGUAUAUAUAACAUAUAGGAAAAUGACUUAUUAAGGUAAUUAACUUUUUGGUAUGUUCACAUUUGGGUAACUAACUUUUUUUGUACACAUUUAGGUAACAACCUUGUUGGAAGUGUUCACAUAUGACCAUUAUGACAUGAUAUAGCAGGUUAAAUCCUAGAUCUGAACGCUUUCAACAAGUUCGUUACCUAGAUGUAUACAAAAAAAAUAGUUACCCAAAUAUGAACAAAACAAAAAAUAAAAGUAAAUUACACGAAUGGUCCCUGUGGUUUGGGGGAAUUUGUGUUUUUGUUCCCUAACUUAUUUUUUUAACUCGUAUGGUCCCUAAUGUUUAUUUUUGUUACACGUUUGGUCCCUGUCUUAUCUAAAAAGACUAUUUUGCCCUUAUUAAUUUAUUUUUUAAUUAAUUUUCUUAUUUAUGUAUUUAUUUUUUAUAUAUUUAAAAAAACUAAUAGACCCCACAUAUCUGUAUCUCCUCACCAUAAACCUCAAACCACAUUUGAGAAAUUUAAUUUGGAUGAUCCCUAUUGUUUAUUUUUGUUGCGCGUUUGGUUCAUGUCUUACCUAAAAAUACUAUUGUGCCCUUAUUAAUUUAUUUUUAAUUAAUUUUCUUAUUUAUGUAUUUAUUUUUUUAUAUAUUUAAAAAAAAAUUAAUAGACCCCACAUAUAUGUAUCUCCUCACCGUAAACCUGAAACCACAUUUGAGAAAUUUAAUUUGGGUCUUACCGGUCACCAUCCCAUCUCUCAUUCUCCCAAACUUCUAUUUCUUUUCCAUCUUUAGUAACAUCGACGUCUUCACCAUCCUUCUUUUUUUGGUACUUCAACUCUGGCGAACCAACACCAUAAUCUACUGUCUCUUCAUCUUUAGUGGGUUGUGGUGUUCAUUUGACGGAGUUAAAGGACCGAAAAAAGAAGGGAUGAUGAAGACGUGUGACAUCCCCAAAAUCACGGCCAGAAAAGACCGUUUUCAUUUAUGCUUUUUAAACAUUUUCAGAGUAAAUCCUUUUGAUUUUAAAAGAUAUGCGAAAUUUGUUCCCAAAAAAAACAUGAUAAGAUAGAUUUUUAUCAAAACAUUUCAUAAAGAAAUAUGAUUUCCUUUCAUAAUCAAAAGUCGGGAUGUCAUAAUCCGAUACAGACCAUAAAGCAUAAACAAUAACAUUACAAGUUUUUCAACAAAAAUAUACAUUUUUAUACAUAGUUUAAAAACCUGUAUAGCAUAUUUUAAUCAAUACAUAUUCCACAUAACAGAUGAGACACACACAAAUAACACGUAUUUCAUAGAGAAUAAAUCAGAUCUAUGAGAUAGAAGAAAGUGAAUAUACAUCCACACAUAUAACAUCAAAAUAUAUACACGUAGCACGUAUUUUAUAUAAAAUACUUCAUAAUAUUGCGUUGGAAGAAAAUGACUACACACUCACUUGAUCUGAAGAUGAUUGGGUAGAACUACGGCUUGCAGAAGUAGUGUUUCCCCGUAGAUCUGGAAAAUCUUCACAAGAAUCGGACUCCUCGCGAGCAGAGCUUCGGCUCGGGAAUAACGCUCUUCGGGAUCCUCGGGGCUUUGGAUCUUGCUUCGGGGCUCGAGAAUAUUACCGGGGCUUCGGGGUAUAAAUGGCAUGCUAAACGAGGCAAAAUCUAGAGAGAAAAGGAAGAAGUUGUAAAAGGGAAGAAGCUGCCUUCGCAUCCCUUUUUAUAGGGCUGAGCUUCGGGGUUACGCUGGGCGUAAGUUCGGAGUACGCGGGGCGUAAUGCCUCGGUUGCCGUCAUCGCUUGCGUCAUCGGCUCCUUUACGACAUCACAUACGAACUCAGAACACUCAAGUGGUACGUUGGGCGUACACCAGUACGCUGGGCGUACUUCGGAUGAGUCCGCUGACUCCUCUUCGGAUAAUACCAAGAUUUAGAAUUAAAUUUAAUUAUUAAAUAUUUAAUAAACUUCAAAAAUUCGUAUCUCCCUCAUACGAACUCCGUUCUCGACGUUCUUUAUAUCCACGCGUAGGUGAGACUACGCUCUACAACUUUUGUUUAGACUCCGUCGGCUAAUUUUGAAUUUUUUUUUUAUUAUUUAUUUUUAGUAGGCCGGGACAGAAAAACUUCGUUAUAAAAUCAUAACUUCUUCGUCCGACGUCCGUUCUCGCCUAACUUUUCAUCGUUGCGCUACUAACAACGAGAUCUUCGAUUCUCGUUUAGAUUGUUUCGGCUAAAAACCGCUCGAUCUCAAAUCGAGUAUUUGGGCUGCAUACUGCCUAGUCGAAACUUCAGAAAAUCAUAACUUCCUCAUACGAAGUCAGAUUUGGGCGCUCUAUAUAUAUUCGGAAACCUUGUUUCAACUACUACAAUAUUAUCCAAUGAUAUCAAGUUUAUUUUACACUUAAAUUUUGACGCUCAUUUUAUUCUUAAUUCAUCAUAUCACAUAAUUAAGCAAUUAAGCACGAAACACAUAAUACUCAAAUAAUACGUUCUUAUUAUUUCAAAUUUGGGUUACAAAGGUUAACCUAGACUAUUACAUUGCUAAAAAUGGCAAGCCCAGAAACACGGGCGUUACAAGACGUAACAAAAUUAAUAAGUACACAAUAGUCUUUUUAGGUAAGAUAGAGACCAAGCUCGUAACAAAAUUAAACAGUAGGGAUCAUCCGAGUUAAAAAAAAUUAAUUAAUUAAAAAAUAAACAGUAUGGAUCAUCUGAGAAGAUACAAAUAUGUGGGGUCUAUUAAUUUUUUUAAAUAUGUAAAAAAUAAAUACAUAAAUAAGAAAAUUAAUUAAAAAAUAAAUUAAUAAGGGCACAAUAGUCUUUUUAGGUAAUACAGGGACCAAACGCGCAACAAAAAUAAACAGUAGAGACCAUCAAAGUUAAAAAAAUAAGUUAGGGACCAAAAACACAAAUUUCCCCAACCCACAGGGACCAUUCGUGUAAUUUACUUUUACUUUUCGUUUUGUUCAUAUUUGAGUAACUAUUUUUUUUGUAUACAUCUACGUAAGGAACCUGUUGAAAGCAUUCACAUCUAGGAUUUAACCUGCUAUAGCAGGUCAUAAUGGUCAUAUGUGAACACUUCCAACAAGUUUGUUACCUAAAUAUGUAAAAAAAAUAGUUAUUCACAUGUGAACAUACCGAAAAGUUAAUUACCUUAAUAAGUCAUUUUCCCUGNNNNNNNNNNNNNUAUAUAUAUAUAUAUAUAUAUAUAUUAGUGAUGAUUGAUGAAAGAAAGGUUCGAGUGGUUGCCAGCUCAUGAAAGGAAAAUGCCCUACUGGUGUUGGGUACCCUUCAAAUGACAAAUACGCCCCAUUCCAAACAACUUUCUCUUUUCCUAUUUCUUUUUUUCGAAUCAAUUAUAUGUGGGGUCAUUUUUGUUGUUAAAGGCAAUUUAUGAUAUUAUUCAUUUAUUAAAAGAUUCUUCUAAAAUGUUUUUUACACGAAAAGAGAAACAAAUAAUCUCAUCACCGAAAUAGUUGAUUCUCAUUUAUUAUUUAUUACAUGAAUCGAAAAAUGUAAACAAAAUAAUAUAUACAAUUGUGCACAACAAUUUACUUAAGAAAAUUGACAUUUCAUAUAGUUAAGCAUGCUAUCCACAUUGAUAAUUGAUAAAUAUAAACAUACUAUUUGCAUUGGUGUUUUAUUAACAUAAAGUUGCCCUUGUUCAUUACAAUAACCAUAAGUACUAGACCGUUCCUCUAGCUUGCAUGUUCAAAAACAAAGGAUUCAAAAAAAAUUAUCACACUACACAAUAUCUUUCGUCAUUUAUUCCGAAAAAACACAAUCAUUCAUUACCCAAACACAAAAUAAACGUCACAUACAAACAUCAUCAUAUACCACUUGGGCCCUUAUCUUUUACUAAAAUCAACCCCACCAUAACUUGUAUGAACUUCUUUUUCUUCCAUAUCACUCGAUUUGUCCAUUCAUUUUUUAUUUUAAGAAGUGUCUACCUUACAAGAUUUCGCAUUGUGUCAUUCUACUUCACAAAUGACACAAGUUACUCUAUAAAAAUUCAUCUUCUUCAUGUUAACCUUGGGAUUACAUUCAUUAGCUUCUAAAAUCUCCUCAUUCGUGUCCACAUCAAAUGCAAAGUUUCUAUCAUCAACAACAUAUUGAUGAUAAUAUUCUUUAUCAAAAUUAACAUCAUAUAUUUUUUUUUCUAAAUCUUAUUUUGAAAACAUUAAAAGGACAUAAUAAAAGUAGUCUUAAAAAUCUUGCCUUAUCAUUCCCAUAGUGGAUUCUAAAUUUCUAAUUGGAAAAAAAAUAUGUUUUCUUGUUAAGCUAGUGAGUGUCGGUAACAUGUUAAGGCAUGUUACCACACCAAAAAAAAAUGUCACCUCAUAUGCAAUGUCAUCACACGGUGUUAUAACGUCAAGUGAGGAAAUAAGCAACAUGUUAUAACACCCAUUAAUUUUCAUGUCAUUAUUUUUUUUUCCAAUGUAUUUUUUAAUAUUUAUAAAAACAAAAUUAAUUUAAUAAAACAUGUUAUUUAGAUAAAACCUAAUUUUUUAAUUAAACAUAACAUUUAAAAUUCAAAAAAAAAAAAAACUUUUCGUGCGUCUUGAAUAUCAACAACUCUAUGUAAAUAUUUCGUUGUCUCCUGUUGAAAUUGCAGAUAUCUGGUUCCGUAGCCGAAUACUCUAUAAUAUUUUUUCAUUUAUCUUCAAUCACCAUGUUAUGCAUUAUGAUAUAUGCAUACAUAAUAUCUCAUAGAGUUUCUAACUGAUAUGGUCGUGCCGCAUGUUAAACUAUGUAUCAUUUUGACUUUAGAACUCCAAAAGCACGUUCCACAUCCUUACAUGCACAUUCUUCUUUUCUCUCGAAAAUUUGUCUCUUGAUCCUAUUGAGUUUCAAAACGCCUUCAGGAAAGUGGAAUAUGCUAGAUAUAUUCCAUCCGUAAGGUAAAACCCCAACUUAUAUUUGUUUUCAUUCACUAUGAAAGGAGCAUUUGAUGCCUUUCCUAAUAAGAGAUCGUCGAAUAUUGGUGACUGAUCAAAAAACGUUGACGUCGUUGUUGGAACCCAUAACCCCGAAAAAAGAAUGUCAAAUCAAUAAAUCUUGGGAUGCAACAACCUAUAAUAUCGAUGAAGGCGUUUCAUGAUGACCACUUUCAUAUUGGUAUUUCCAUGCCACGGGACAAUUUCUUCAGUUCCAGUGUAUGCAAUCAAUGCUUCCAAGCAUACCCAGAAAACCAUGUAUGUUUUCAUGUGCCACAUAUAGUUGUUGCAUAUCAUUCAACGAAGGUUUGCGCAAAUAAACAUCACCGAAGGUUUCGAUAACAACUCUCUCCAAUGUAUACAAACUUUCUUUUGCAGUUCUCUCAGACAUUCUCAUAUAAUCGCCAAUAGAAUCAGAUGUGUCCCUCAGAACCAUAAGCUUAAUUGUCGCAACACAUUUCUACAGUCAUGUGAAUCCUAGCUUACCUCUAGCAUCAUAUCUCAUUUGGAAAAAUUCAUAACUAAACGCAUAUUUAAUAGGUAAAAAAUGUAUUUAAUUUAUGUAAAAGCUACAUUUUAUAAAUUACAAAAUUUGAAAGAAACAAUAUAUGCUUUUCAAGGCUUUGGCUAUCCAUACAAACACAUUUUUUUUCCGCAAAUGAACUCUUCUUUUGAAAUCACAUAACUGGUAGACACAGUUAUCUGCAAAAUAAUCACGAACUAGACGUCAGUGUCCUCCGUGAUUUAUGUUUAACAUCGCACGUCUAGUUAAUAUAUGAGUCAGUGUCCUCCGUGAUUUAUGUUUAACAUCGCACGUCUAGUUAAUAUAUGACUUGGAUGUGGUUGAAAUAGCACAUUCAUGCAGUACUCGUACAUCAUAGAGAUGAACAUAUCAUCCUCAACAACAUCAUCGUUAGACGGGCCGAACAUAUUCAUUUUUUUAAAUUGUGAAGUAUUGAAAUUUUAUAAAAUGUAGAGAGAAAAGAAAGAGGUGAAUGAAUUUGGUAUAUCAUGUGUGUAAUAUAUAUAUANNNNNNNNNNNNNNNNNNNNNNNNNNNNNNNNNNNNNNNNNNNNNNNNNNNNNNNNNNNNNNNNNNNNNNNNNNNNNNNNNNNNNNNNNNNNNNNNNNNNNNNNNNNNNNNNNNNNNNNNNNNNNNNNNNNNNNNNNNNNNNNNNNNNNNNNNNNNNNNNNNNNNNNNNNNNNNNNNNNNNNNNNNNNNNNNNNNNNNNNNNNNNGCGUGUUAACGGCGUUGAGGUGUAGACACAUCGGCAAUAAAAAGGCCUUAACAUGCCCACACCGAAUGAUCUUAAAGACAUGAAAACAACAAAAGGACAUUCAUUAUGCAAACAAAUAUCAAAAUAUGAAUCAUUGAUAUGGCUUCACAAAAUGAAUAAUUAAGUAAAAGACAUGUAAUAAAGGUUUUCAUGGUCAACAAGGUCAUACUUCGUGUUGGAAUAUGCAAUGUUUGACUGAUGAUGUUGUAUUUUGACCACAAAUGAUAUUAGGUUUUUACGAAUUUGUCUUUACCACUAUAAAUAGAUUUGAGCUUAUUUUAUUUCAGUUUGCUCUCUUGUAAUUUUCUAAGCUCCAGAUUUUGGAGAGAUAUUCUAAUGAGAUAAAGUUCUUGAGAGUUCAUAUUGUGCUUAAAGAGAUUAUGAUUUAGUAUACUCUUUUAUUUAGUGAUUUGUUGAUAUUUAAUUGAUUCACAUCCAUUGUGUGAGCGAAAUUCAUAUAGUUCUUUAUUCCACAUUCACUAUUUAAGAUAUAGUAUCUAGAGUUCGAUUUAAUCAUCCACGUUGGAAGCACCAUUGUUUGUAAAAUUUUGAUUCCCAUACAAGGUUAGGGUUAGAGAAAGAGGCACAUAUGUUGAACAAAAUUAAUAACCGAACAGAAUAAGAUUUAUAUGCAAAAGAUUAUAAUAGACAAAUCGAAAGCAAUGAUACAAGAGGUAAUGAUAGUUGAAAGUAACAAUAACCGAAGAAAGAAGAAGUACAACACGACAAAGACUAAAAUACCUCGUGUGCAAGACACAACUUAACAAGUGUAGUUUAACACAUUUUGAAAAACGACCCUAAGUUGAAAGGCAAUGGCACAAUAAACACCAAAAUAGCAAAAUUAGAAGUUUAGGUACCAAGAUUGCAAAAAAAUGAGAAAAUCAAGGGCCAUUCUUAGACCUUACUCAUACAUCGGUGUUGAAAAGGUAAUUUUUUCGUGCACUUUUAUAUUUGAGGGGGUAGGAUGUAAUUUUAAGAUAGAAGAAACAUUAAAAACACGUUAAAAUGCUUGCAAACUUUCAAUGUUCUACAUCCAAACACAUAGUUCCAACCGUCCAAACCUCUACAAACUGAACACGUGGCAUCCAUGAUAUGUCAAGAUUCAUAAUGUUCUUUAUGUGAAAUGCAUCAAUCAGCACACAGCAGAAGAAAAAGACCCACCGUCCACUCGACCGCCCCUCAAAACAUAUGGCCGUGGUUUAGCGCAGUCACAAGAUCCACCUCACCGUCUCUCGUAGAAACUCACAAAUAUGGCGACAACCUCUUCUAAAUCUUUUAGAAUGGCGAAAAACAUUAUAAAUUAUAAAUAAAAAAUAAUCAGCGGGAGACUGACCAACAUCCAGAUAAAAAAACGACAGUUACAAUGAUAUUAAAUAAUAUCAUAUUCUUGGAUUUUAAAUGAACCUCAAUCCCCAACACACAUUGUUAAUUAAUGGAUUUGUGUAUGUUUAUAUUUGUAUUCCGUCCAUUUAUAUGUUCGACUUUGUAUAUGUAUCUCGGCCCUCUCUGUAUUGUGUAUUAUCUACAGUAGACAGUAGUCUAUAUGGUGGUUAAUGAGAGAAUUCAAUUCACUGGAACUAUUUCAAAUAACAUUGUAUCAAUUCUUAUUUCUGUCAUGUUCAUGUCAUAAUUACUCGAGCCACAAUAGUUUUUUGCGACAAGGUUAGUGUUGUGUAUAUUGCCUCUAAUCCGGCUUAACGUCACCGAACCAAUCACAUUGAGAUUGACAUUGCUAGUGUUGUGUACCUUGUCUCCAACCCGGUUCAAUAUCAUCAAGCCAAACACAUUAAGAUCGACUAGGGGUCAGCAAAAACUUAACCGAAAACCCAACAUAAACCAAUGGAGCAGGUUGGAAUUUUAUAAAAACCAAUAUUAUCGAUUCGGUUCGGUUUCGUAUUAUAAACCCACCUAGCAAAACCGAACCGACCCACAGGGUUAAAAACCAACCAAAAGUUGACCCACAAAACCGACCUAGUGUAUAUAUUAUUUAAUAUUUAUUAUGUUUUAAAUAUUAAAUAUAUUUACUAUUAGUAUUUUAUGUACACUUAGGUGAUUUUUAGUUAAUAGUUAUUUUAGAAUUUAAAUUGGAUUCAAUACCAUUUAUAUUUUAUAAUCGCAAAUUUCAAGGAGUUUGAACACGAAACUGCCCCCCACCCACCCACAAAAUCAUGUGUUCAAACCGGAAACCAAAAAGCAGACCCACACACAAACCCACCACCACAUGUUUUGAAGCCGAAUAAAACCGAUUUUUACAGUUUGGGUUCGAUUUAGCCUAACACCGAACCAUGCUCAUCCCUAAGAUCGAUAUUCAUUUUUAUUCAAGUCAAGGUGGGUCAGCUUUAGGUUUUACAUGUCCUGUCUUCACAUCAAUAUAUUCUCCAAAGGACCCUUUUUAUCAUGUUUUCUUGAUUUUUGCUCCAAUUUAAAUGUCCGAUGUCCCUACACCCGUUCAAAGUGCAAAGGAUGUUAACAUAAAUGCAUAUUUUUAUUUUUUUAGUCGGUCCUGGUAUGUAUCUCGCCCUUGUCUAUAUUGUGUGUGGUUAGUAGUGGGAAGUAUUUGGUUUGGUACAAAAAAACAAAAAACCAAACCAAAUCGAAAUUAAUUUUGGACCAAACCAAAAUUUAAUUUGGAUUUUAGUUUGGUUUCAGACCAAACCAACCCGAAUUACUGAAUUUAGUUUAGUUAUUUGUUAAAUAAUUUAUACUUCAAUACUUUAACGAAAACGAAAUUGAACUAAUGAAUACCCGUUACAUUAUAAUGAGUCGAAAUAUCAAUUUGGUCAUUUUUCUCUUAAAAUGUAAUUAAUAUUUUGAUUUUGUAUACUUUAUUGUUCAUGGAUUAUAUAUUUUAAUUUUUUAUACUAAACUACUAUGGAAACUGAAACGUAAAUUUUAUGUUCAAAAUAUUGGAACUUAUAGGUUUUAUUUUUAAUCUUAAAAUUUCGUUUUCUUGGUUUUCAUAUCGAAUCAAACAAAAUUGUAAUUCGGUUUUUGGUUUGGUCCGACUAGUCUUAAGUUUGGAUUGUUUGGACCAAAAAAAUUCAAACAAAAGAAACCAACUCGGCCGAGUACUCAACGAGUAACUUGACUCGAACCUCUUCCGAGGCAACUUUCACUUACUUGGCCAAAAAUUUGGAUUUCAUACUAACUCAAUCGAACUCAAACCAACUGGGUCCAACUCGAAUGAGUUUAACCAACUCGGUUCGACUCAGAUGAGUUUAACAUGAGUACUUUGGGGAUGGACACUUCCUAUUUAUAAGUGGAGAUCUCGUCCUCCUUUUCUUGUUACCGUCGAUGUGGGAUAUCUUUAUUUAAUCCCCCAGUAAAGAUGUAACGUCCCAAAAUUACCAACAAAAAUUUCAUUUUUAAACCAUCAAAAUCAUAUAACCAUUUCAAAACAAAUUAGAGUAAAAUGUAUUUUUUUUUUCAAACAUCAGAGUAAUACAAUAACUAUAAAUGUGGAAAAGCCAUCAGAGGAUGUUGUGCAUUCAAGUCGGGCUUUCAUUUGGAACUGGAAGUACCUGAAAAUAUUAAUCCAUAAAACUGUAAGCAGAAAGCUUAGUGACUUCUCCAAAAUAUCACAUACCAUACAUAUUGGGCCCCACCCUCACAUCAGCCCUCACCCAUCAUACCAACAGGCCCAACCCAACAUACAAACAGGCCCAACCCAACAUACAAAUGGGGUCCGCCCAACAUACCAAUGAAGAGUCACAAAGACAACUAGCAUCCUACAUGGUAUAGUGAGAACACUCACCUUACCAACACAGUAUACAGCUAACAACUCUCACAGCCAAUGAAUGGGUGCUAAACACCUCCUAAUAAACCACACAAGGUAAACUCUAACUCUACCUUCUAAACAUAAAAUUUAACCAAAAGUCAACGGUCAAAGUCAAAGUCAAUAAUAAUCAUCAGCACGCCUCCAUGUCGUGGCCUCCCUGUGGCCACGUCAUGAUCACAAAACGCCAAAACAGUCGGGCUAAUUCCCAUCACCACGUCGUGGAAGCCAGAAGGCCACGUCGUGGGAACUGGGUCUAAACAACAUAACAGAUUAAGUUGUUUUCCUUCAUCCCUAAGGGCUCCAAAGCUUAGACCUUAUACCUUCCAAGGUCUUGAUGGAUAAAGUUUCCGACUUUAUCCAUUAAAACAUCUCAUAAGACAAAACCUCUAAACCUAUGUUCUUGAUGACCUCAUGGAGCAUGAACUUAUCCAUUAAGAUGUUAAUCACCAAAUUCAUCCAUACAUAUUUUCUAAAAGGCUUUCCAACACCCCAUGGAUCAUAAAAAGUGGUGCUUUAUGGACAUGCAUGUCUAAUGCAUGUCACUUUCAUUUUUGGGCAAAUAUAUGGGAGAAGGGAACUCAAACUUAUACAUGAGACCAAAAACUCCAAGACCCUUCAGAUAUACAACAUAUGAACUCAAAGGGACCUCAUGGAUCCAUAAAGUUGCCAACUUUAUGGGAUCCAUUCCUCUAAACUUCCACAACAUGAAGAAAAGGGACAAAGAACCAAGAUCUAGAAACAUGCAACCAAAAAGCUUGAAUCUUGGACACUUACAAAGGUCCAGAAUAUGCAUAAGAGUAUGAUGAUGAUGUUUACUUGUUGGAUCAACACACUAGAACACCUUCUUCUUCUUCUUCUUCUUCUUCAAGCCGCCAAAAGUACAAAAAUGAACUAAAAAUCACCAAGAUGGAUUAGGGUUAGGGCUUCUGAGGUUUGAGAGUGAUAGAGGCUGAAAAUGAACCCUAAAUCCGAGAUUAGGGGUUUAAAUACGAAGAAAACCCCUAAAAGAUCAUGGGCUUGGAUUGCAGAACCUUUCACAUCAUGAACAUACUCGUGUCACGUUGGGGCAUUCUUCCAAUGCACGUUCAUAUAUCGGUUCGUCACAUCAUGACCUUCUUAUGGUCACGUCGUGACACAUAAUUUUUUCCAAAAACUAUGCCUUUGAAAACUCCACAACGCUAUAUUGAACGUCGAGUGUUACAAAAGAAACUCUACAACGCUAUAUUGAACAGAGCCCUUUCGUGGAAGUAUUCUUCCUUGUUUCGAUCGACGUGGACCUCAAAGUCUUUCAUUGGUUCUCGUAAGUCAACCUCGCCUUCACUCUCUCAUCCCCUUUCUUUCUUUCUUGAUGACUUGUUUGGAUUUCACUGAUCAAUUUUAGAAUUCAUCAAAUUCAAAUGUAAACAAGAUGAUUGAAUAAUGUUUGAUUUGGAUUUUAAAAGCUAUCGAUUUCAAAAUCUAUAAUGUUUUAUUUGGGUUUCAAAAUUUGAUUGGUUAGUAGUCGACUAUAAAAGUGAUUGAUUUCAAAGGUGAAGAACGUUCGCUCAAUCCUAGUUUGAAAAGACGAUGAGGUACAGGUUGUUUGUGGUACCUACAAAGGCCGUGAAGGUAUGGUUGUUUAGGUCUACCAUCUCUGGCGACAUGAGAGACGAUUUUCCAAAAAGGAAUCAACUCAAAUGAUAAAAAUGAUCAUGGUCUAUGUUCUACAUUCAAGGUAAUUCGAAUUGUGUUCUUUCAAUUUCUAUAGUUUCUGAAUUGCUAUUUUAUUCUGGUAUUUGAUUGCAAAUGAGUAUUGAAUCAAAUUUCAUGGAAUUCAAUUCCAAUCCUUCUUCAUUUGUGUAAAGGACUGAAAUACCCUUUGUAAACCCUUCUUCACAACUUAGCUAACUCACGAUUUUAGCCUGUUAUAUCAAUUAAUGUCAUUGCUUGGUGAUUUUCUGAUUGUAGUGUAAGACUCUAAAAUUUCAAACAAAAUUUUCAUUAUUAAACCACAUAAAACUCAAUAUCACAUUUCUCAAAAACCACAAAUGUAUCAGCUGUCAACACACAAAUCAACAAAAUGACUGAUAAUAUCCUAGAAUCCUCAAACAUAUACAAUCAAGUCGGCGCCUUCCUACGAUCCUAAGAAGUACUUGAAACACAUAUCACACAACUGGUAAGCAUGAAGCUUAGUGAGUUCCCCAAAAUACCACAUACACAUACAAUAAGCCUCUCAUGGCUAUAGCUUAGCGUGGACCCUCUGGUCAUGCGUCUCGGUGAGGACCCUCCGGUCUCAUGGCUCGGUGUGGACCCUCCCGUCAUGUGUCUUAGUGAAGACCCUCCGGUCUCACAGCUCGGGUUGGACCCUCCGGUCAUGUGUCUCAGUGAAAACCCUCCGGUCCUAACUCAGUAAGGCAUAGAAUAAUAUAGCAUAUAUCACAAAGACAAAAUGCAUAAUAUCACAUAACUCAGUAUAAGCACAUAGGAUCCUCCAGCCAAUAAUUCAAAUAAGACCCUCCGGUUACACAGUAAUACCACUCAGGUAAGUAUAGUGAGAAGACUCACCUCGUAAGUAAGCAAGUAGAUCUAGUACCCCUCGAACAGUCUUGACUUCGUCUACAUAAUAUAAUCAUCUCUAAUUAGCAACUUUUAAUAACCACUCCGAGAUGUUAAACUAACUCCUCCACUAGAUCUCAAAAAGGGUGAGAAGACCAUUUUACCCCUACAUGGUCUCCAAAGUCCACCAUUGACCAAACCCUAAAAGUCAACGAAAGUCAACACUCGAGUCAACAAUCCCCGUUGACCCAAAUCGUUGAGUGCACCUUUGAAGCUCGUUGAGUUCCUCAUGUUCUCAGAAGAAUCGAGAAAAUUCCAACUCAACUCAUCGAGUUUUCUCAUCAACUCGCCGAGUUGUAGCGCGUCCAGACUAUCGGGGAAAACCCUAAUUGACUCGUCGAGUCAGAUCAUACACUCGUCGAGUCCCUCUAGUCCAAUUCUCAUUCAGAAGAUUCUAAGCAAAAAUAAAGCCCCAAACUCUAGAUCUUGCCUCCUAAGGCUAAAAUACCAUGUAAAGUUGCAAGCUUUACGUCCAUGCAUGGCACCUACGGCUCAAAAUGCCAAAACAAAGAUCUAUAGAAGGUCUAAUGUUUGGAACUUGGCCAAAAGCUUAAUAAAGCUUGGAUCAUUAUACUCAAGGGACCUCAUACAGUCCAGAUCUGAAGUUUCAACUUCAUGUCAUGCUCAAAUGACUCAAAGACUCAAAAAGGAAGAUCGAAAGGACUACAAACUUCCUAAGGAAGAGAUCUAACCAAAAAAUGGUCAAGGUGAUAGCUUUUUCCCUCCAAUAAGCAGCUUGUACAGAAAGAACACUGGAUCUAAAGCCUUCUUCUCGUUCCAAGCGUUUUGCUCUUCUAUUACCCUUCCAAGAAUGCACUAAAUCACACACUUUUAGCCUCUCUCUCUCUCUCUCUCUCUCUCUCUCUUUCACAGAUGGUACAAGCUCGUUUAGGGUUUCUCUUGAGGUGUCAAAAUGAUUAGGGAGGCAGAAAUGAAGGCUUAAGGUCCUUUAAAUUGGACACAAACCCUGAAAAUUAGAGUUUUUAAACUCAGCUCCUACUCGUCGAGUUGGGGUCCACCAACUCGUCGAGUAGACUCUAACAAUCAUGCGGCCAUUAACUCCUCUACUCAGCGAGUUGGGGCCUCCAACUCAUCGAUUUGCUCUAACAAUAUAAAUGAAAAAUAACUAAAUAUUAUACCUGAGAGUCGGGAUGUUACAAUUCUCCCCACUAGAAUCAGACUUUGCCCUCGAAGUCAUUCCCCAGAAAUAACUCUGGGUACUGCUCACGCAUCUCGGUCUCAGGCUCCCAAGUCCACUCGGAUCCCUUCCGAUGCUGCCAAUGAACCUAAACUAAGGGCACCUCUUUAUUCCUCAAGACCUUCACCUUCUUAUCCAAGAUAGCUAUCGGCUCCUCUAAAGGGACCACUAUCGUCUCAUCGACUACACACUUCCUCAGCUGGGAAACAUGGAAGGUGUUAUGAAUAUGACUCAACUCUGCAGGCAGAUCUAACAUAUAAGCUACCUUACCCACUCAAGCGAUCACUCUUAAAGGUCCAAUGUAUCCAGGGCCCAGCUUGCCCCGCUUCCUGAAUCGGAUCACCCAUUUCCAUGGGGAUACCUUCAGGAGAACAUAAACUCCGACUUGGAACUCCAACUUUGAACUUCAUCGGUCUGCGAAACUCUUCUGACAACUCUGGGCCGUUAGUAAUCUCUGUCUGACCUGUUGGAUCUACUCUGUCGUCUUGAUCACUAUAUCAGUGCUCCCCAUCACUCUCUGCCCUAUCUCUCCCGAACAAAUGGGAGUUCGACACCUCCUCCCAUAUAAAAGCUCAAAGGGAGUCAUACCGAUGUUGGAGUGAUGAUUGUUGUUAUAUGAAAAAUCAGCCAAGGGAAAGUAAGUGUCCCAAAUCCCACCGAAGUCCAUAACACAUGCGUGUAGCAUGUCCUCAAGUGUCUGAAUCAUCCGCUCGCUCUGCCUAUCUGUUUGUGGGUGAUAUGCGGUACUAAAGUGCAACCGGGUACCCAACUCCUCAUGAAAUUUCUUCCAAAACCUGGAUGUAAAACGCACAUCUCGAUUUGACACCAUCGAUGUUGGUACCCCAUGCCGUGCCACCACCUCUCGAACGUAGAUCUCAACCAAUUUCUCCGCAGAAGAGCUCUCACUGAUAGCCAGAAAGUGAGCACUCUUUCUCAACCGAUCUACAAUCACACAUAUCGCAUCAACACCCCGCGCGUUCCUCGGUAAUUUGGUGAUAAAAUCCAUGUAAAUAUGUCCCUACUUCCAUAAGGGAAUCUCUAGAGACUGCAACGGGACAUGAGGACGUUGGUGCUCCGCCAUCACCUAACGAUAGGUCAAGCACCUCUCGACUACCCAUGCCACAUAUAUCUUCAUACAGGGCCACCAAUAAUCCCUUUUUAAGUCCAAAUACAUCUUGGUGGCCCCCGGAUGGAUCGAGAAUCUCGACCUAGGGGCAUCCUCCAUCAAAAUAUGUCGAGCUCCACCCAUAUAUGGCGCCCAUAUUCGCCCACGGAAGGUCAUACACCCCCGACUAUCCAUCCCAAACUCAUAAAUUUGCCCGAUCACCUGCUCUCUCUUACGGUUAUCUGGUCUCACAGCCACAACCUAGGGCUCUCGGAUGGAAUCUAAGAUUGGGGUCAUCAUCAUCAUCAUCAUGCACACGUCUCAGAUCAGGGCACGCACUGCUCUAAGACUCAGGGCAUCGGCUACCACAUUAUCCUUACCAGGGUGAUACAAAAUCUCAUAUUCAUAGUCUUUCACUACAUCCAACCACCUCCUCUGUUUCAUAUUCAGGUUGGGCUGAUCCAUAAGGUACUUCAGGCUCUUAUGGUCCGUAUAUAUGGUACACCAGACACCAUAAAGAUAGUGGCACCAGAUGUUGAGGGCGAACACCACCGCCCCCAACUCCAAAUCGUGGGUAUGAUACCUCGUCUCGUGAGGCUUCAACUGCAUCGAUGCAUAUGCUAUCACGUGUCCCAUCUGCAUCAACACGGAAGCCAUCCCUGAUAUAGAUGCAUCACAGUAGAUUAUGAAGUCCUCCACUCCCUCAGGAAGGGCUAACACUGGAGCUUCACACAAUCUCUGGCGAAGAGUCUCGAAUGAGGCCUGCUGCUCGGGCCCCCAAGUAAAAGUAACACCCUUCCCGGUCAAUCGGGUGAGAGAAACGACAAUCUUGGAGAAAUCUCUGAUAAACCUACGGUAGUAGCCUGCCAGGCCCAAAAAACUCCUAAUCUCGGAUGGGGAUCUCGGCACCUCUCAUCGCAUAAUUGCCUCAAUCUUGGCCGAGUCGAGCAAAAUCCCACUCUGCUUAACGAGGUGUCCCAAGAACCAGACCUCUCGUAACCAGAAAUCACACUUGGAGAAUUUGGCAUAAAGCCUCUCCAUCCUCAAUACUCUAAGAAUCUCCUACUGGUGCUACUCAUGCUGCUCCCUAGACCUCGAGUACACCAAAAUGUCGUUGAUGAACAUGAUCACUGACCUAUCCAACAUGGGCCGGCACACCCGGUUCAUGAGGUCCAUGAACGUUGAAGGUGCAUUGGUGAGUCCAAAAGGCAUCACCAAAAACUCGUACUGCUCAUAACGAGUUCAGAAAGCUGUCUUCUGAAUAUCCUCCUCACAGAUUCUCAUCUGAUGAUACCCAUAUCUCAAAUUAAUCUUAGAAAACCAAGACACCCUAUGCAACUGAUCGAAUAAAUCGUCGAUCAUCGGUAGUGGAUAACGGUUCUUGACCGUCAGCUCGUUCAAAUCCUGGUAGUCGAUACACAUCCGGUGUGAACCAUCCUUUUUCUUGAAUAAAAGGAUCAACGCUCCCCACGGUGAGCUACUCGGUCUAAUAAAACCCGUCCCCAGCAGCCCCUGGAGCUGCGAGGAUAGCUCCUACAUUUCGGGCGGUGCAAGGCGAUAAGGUGCCUUGGAAAUAGGCACCGCACCCGGAAUCAAAUUGAUCAGGAACUCCACCUGCCUCUGAGGAGGCACACCCGACAACUCGUCAGGGAAAACAUCCGGGAACUCACACACUACCGGAACAUCAAAGAUAGAACUCGGCCUCUCAAUGGCAACUCUCGUAUCCAUCACAUAUUUUAAAAAUCCCAUGUAUCCCUGCUGUAAACUCUGCCUUGCCCUGGCGGCAGAGCAGAAUGGUGAUCCAAAUCUGGUCCCCACUCCAUACACAGUAAGUACUCCCCCACUAGGGUCUCGUAUGGUCACCAUCUGAUGCUCAUAGUCAAUCACAGCACCAAACCGGCUCAACCAAUUCAUGCCCACUAUGACACAAACAUCACCCAUCGCUAUCGGCACCAGAUUUAUCGGGAACUCAACACUGAAAAUCUUUAAUACACAUCCCUGGAUACAUCAAUGGCAAAAACCGCAUGCUCGUCGGCUAUAGAAACCCUCAGUGGUCGACUCAACGCCUCGCGUCUAACACUAAUGUGACGACUAAAGGAUAAAGACACGAAAGAUCGACUCUUAUCCGAUUCAAAUAACACCAAAGCAAGCACAUAACUCACAAGAAAAGUACCUAUAUACAACACAAUAUAAGCAUCAAAAAUCUCAAAAUAACAUAAAUAAGGAGAUACGUACCAACAACAACACCAGGCGUUGUGCGGACCUCCUCCGUAGUCAGCUGGAAUGCUCUCCCACGAGCUCUCGGAGGCUCGACCUUCCCCGGACGGCCAUCAGUAACACGUAAAGCAGCAUGAACAGAAGCCUAGGUUGAUCACUAAGUGAGUUGAGGACACUCGGCCUAUCGGUGGCCAGUCUGGUUGCAGUGAAAGCAAACCGAAAAUCCCUUGGGGCAGUCCCUCGCCAUAUGCCCCUCCUUGCCACAUUUAUAGCAAAUCCCCGCUCGAAAAGACCCCUCAUGAAUAGGGCACAAACCCUGAAAGUUAGGGUUUUCACACUCAACUCGUACUUAUCGAGUUGAGGUCUACCAACUUGUCGAGUAGACUCUAAAAAUCAUGUGGCCAUUAACUCCUCUACUCGGCGAGUUGGGGCCUCCAACUCGUCGAUUUGCUCUGACAAUAUGAAUUCAAAUUAAUUAAAUACUAUACCUGAGAUUCGGGAUGUUACAUGUAGUGAAUUCAAAAGUGUCACCAAAAUAAUCUUCUUUGAUUUAUCAUCAAGCUUCGUGUGUUAUAAAGAAAUUAAAAUUCCAAACUUUUGCAAAGGGAGCCUAUACAUUGUGUAGUUUCUAUAAACCACGAACACUUGGCUAAUUAGUUUAUAUAAGUCUUGAAUGUUUUCUAAAUAACCUGGUAUAUGAUCAUAUAUGUGAUGGGUUUUGAGCAUUCUAACACUCUUAUGGUGUACAUGCAACCCUAGAAACCUUGGAUCUAUGUUUGACUAAGAUACAUGCAAAUAAUUAUUUUUCCAAGGUUCUUAUCCUAUCUAGCAUGACAUAGGGAACUUGAAUCAAAUAAAGCUAGUAGUUAUACUUACCUUGUAGUUGUAGUUGAUUGCUUGGAGUUUUAGAGCCUAGCACCAAUAGUGUGGAUGCCUCAAAUGGAAAUCACAAAUCACCACAAACUUUGGAACUUUGGGAGAAUAGUAAUCACCUUCUUGAAAUCGGCCAUCUUAGUAUCCUCACUACAACUAGUGUGAUUUCAAGAACCAAAGCCUUCUUUAUAUAGUGUGGUGGAUUAGGGUUACAUCCAUGUAAACCCUAAUACCCAUGUCUCUUCAUUUCCAUGAGAUCCAUGGGUUAAAGCUCCAUGGAGUAUCCAUGGACUUCUCCAUCCAAGCCUAGCCCAUUCCAAAUAAGCAUAAGCCCACACUAUAUAAAUAUAGAAGCCCAUAUUUAAUUAGUAAUAUCUUUGAUCCUAAAUUAAUCCUAGAUUAAUUAUAGAUCACCACUAAUUAAAUAAUAUUAUCUUAUAUUAAUAUAUUAGAACUUAUAAUAUAUUAAUAAAUCAUAACUUAUACUAUUCUCAAAAGAUUAUCCAUAAAAUGUUCGGGUGAAGUGCAAACCAAAUGGACCAUGCUGGGUUGGGUCAAGUACAUACUAAAUAUAGUUAUGGACUUAGACAUUAUAUCCAACAGUCUCCCACUUGGAUAAGUCUAAUAACUAUAGUUGCAAGUAUGACUUCAGGAACCGAUCAGAAAUCGUAGCUCUUUAAACUCUGUUGAACUAGAACGCGCCAUUUUAGAUAAGUGAUCACAUAAUCCUCUUUUCUAGAUAUCAGCCGGACAAAUACAUGGAACAUGGUCUUACUUAUUGUCCAACAUUUGUUUCCCGAUUUCCGAUUUGUUUGACAUAGAACUUAACGGAACACAUCAAUUUAGUUCUGACCGGGCCCGGUACAUAGGUCAAAACAAAAUCAUCGAGGGGCCCAGAUAUCGCUUCUAAUCCCAUAAGGAACAUAUAAACUUCGACUCAUAUGUUUUCUCUACCACUUGUUAAAUUACACACAAAAGCACGGUUUAUAACAUCGAGUUACCAAUGCGUUUUUGUGCAAUCAAUGCAGAACCAACUCAUAGGCAACAAAUCAUAUCUCUAGGUUUGAAGACUUAUAUGAUAUUACCGUCUCACGAUCACUCGAGAUAAAUUCCAUGAAGUGAUACAAGUGAGCGUGGGUUGAAUCCAAUACUCAGAACUUAUGAGCACUCAUGAGUGUUGUAGCCCCGCUUUGUCUAACAUCUUAGACCUCUACAAGCCAACCCAUGAUAGUCUUGAUUCAUAUCUACUUCCACCAGAAGACCAACUGUGGAGAGUUUGAAUAAUAUGAUAUAAACCAUAACAUAAUUAUUCUGGAAGUCAAAACACGUGAAAAGAAAUAAUAGUAAACGAUUGACAAGUGAUAGCAACACUUUACUCAUAAAUAACAAUGUUUAUUUAUCAUCAAAUGUCAAUUACAUUUUACAAAUUUCAAGAUUAUCUAACUACUAAAACUAAUAUCAUCCUUCAGCCCUAUGCUCCGAGCAUGCUGGAGAUGCUUAGCCCGAGUCAGUCCCUUCGUGAGGGGAUCUGCUGGGUUCUCAUCCAAUGAUACCCUCUUUGCCACGAGGAUUCCUUCUUCUAUUUGAUGUCUGAUGAAGUGAUAUUUUCUGUCAAUGUGUCGGGAUCUGCCAUGAUCUCUUGGUUCCUUGGCUAAGGCAACUGCACUAUUGUUGUCACAUAAAAUCUCCAUUGGCUCCUUUAUAGCUGGUACAGCUCCAAGGUAUCUGAUGAAGUUCUUAAGCCAUAUAGCCUCCUUUACUGCCUCGCUUGCUGCUAUAUACUCUGAUUCACAAGUGGAAUCAGCCACUGUCUCCUGCUUGGAACUUUUCCAAGUAAUUGCCCCUCCGUUUAGGGUAAAGACCCAGCCCGACUGAGAGCGGAAAUUAUCCCCGUCGGUCUGAAAGCUAGCAUCACUAUACCCUACAACUCUCAAGUCAUCACUCCCACCAAAGGUAAGGACCCAGUCCUUAGUCCUUCGUAGGUACUUGAGGAUAUUCUUUACCGCAGUCCAGUGUGCCUUGCCAGGUUUCCCUUGAUACCUGCUAACCAUGCUCAAAGCAAAGGCUAAAUCAAGUCGAGUACACGUCAUAGCAUACAUGAUCGAUCCUAUAGCUGAAGCAUAAGGUAUUCGACUCAUUUUUGCUAUCUCAGACUUUGUACUCGGAAUCUGAGUUUUACUCAGUCUGGCAUUACACUGGAUAUGUAACUCACCUUUCUUGGAGUUAUGCAUGUUGAACCUUUUCAACACUUUGUCCACAUAGGUGCUUUGACUAAGUCCAAUUAGUCUUUUACUCUUGUUUCUCAAAAUCCUUAUCCCUAGGAUAUAGGCAGCUUCACCAAGGUCCUUCAUAGCGAAACACUUCCCAAGCCAGGACUUUACUUCCUGCAGGGUUGGGAUGUCAUUUCCUAUGAGUAGUAUGUCAUCCACAUACAGUACCAAAAAGCUGACUAUGCUCCCACUAGCCUUGAUAUAGACACAAGAUUCAUCUUCACUCCUUGAAAAGCCAAAUUCUUUGACUUUCUCAUCAAAGCAAAGAUUCCAUCUGCGAGGUGCCUGUUUCAAUCCAUAAAUGGAUUUCUCGAGUUUACACACUCUAUUGGGGUACUCUGUACUGACAAAACCCUCUGGCUGAACCAUGUAAACAUCUUCAGCCAACUUUCCAUUAAGGAAAGCGGUUUUGACAUCCAUUUGCCAUAUUUCAUAGUCAUGAAAUGCAACAAUGGCUAACAGAACCCUAAUAGACUUAAUCUUGGCCACUGGUGAAAAGGUCUCAUCAUAAUCAACUCCCGGAGUUUGAGAAUAACCCUUUGCAACCAGUCGUGCCUUAUAAGUGUGUACAUUACCAUCCAUGUCGGUCUUCUUCUUGAAGAUCCAUUUGCACCCAACUAUCUUACGAUCAGGUACAUUGUCAACCAAGUUCCAAACUUGAUUGUCAUACAUGGACUGUAUCUCGCUAUCCAUAGCCUCUUUCCAUUUAGCAGCCUCAGGGCCUGCCAUGGCUUCCGUGUAGCUGUUAGGCUCAUCUAGAUUUACCAGUGUGUUAUCACUGAUAAGUGUCUCACCUUCUGCAGUAAUAUGGAAACCAUAAUAAUGCUCAGGUGCAUUCCUAACUAUUGUGGAACGCCUCAGAGGUAUAGAUUCUUCAAUCUGCUCAAUAGGAGUUUCCUCCUCAUGUUGAGGGUUAGGCUUUGAGGUUCCUUCACCACUUGACUCUUGAAUUUCCUCAAGGUCAAUUUGCCUCUCACUGUCUCCUUGGCUCAUGAAUUCUCUCUCUCGAAAGAAUCCUCUUCUUGCUACAAAGACCACAUUAUCACUGGGUCUGUAGAAGAUGUAGCCAAAGGAUUUCUGUGGAUAGCCGAUGAAAAUACACCUUUCGCUUCGGGGUUCGAGCUUAUCGUGAGUCUCGCGUCUCACGAAAGCCUCACAACCCCAAAUCUUGAUGUGGUCUAGAUUGGGAACUUUUCCAGUCCACAUCUCGUGAGGUGUUUUGGCAACCUUCUUUGUAGGGACUAGAUUAAGGAUAUGGGCGACAGUCUCUAAGGCAUACCCCCAAAAUGAGAUUGGUAGCGAAGCUCGACUCAUCAUGGAACGAACCAUGUCCAACAAGGUCCGAUUGCGCCUCUCAGCUACACCAUUCAACUGUGGUGUCCUAGGAGGUGUCAAUUGUGAGAUAAUCCCACAUUCCUUAAGAUAGUCAAGGAACUCAGUACUAAGAUACUCACCACCACGAUCGGAUCGAAGCAUCUUAAUGUUCUUGCCCAACUGAUUCUCCACUUCUUGCUUAAACUCUUUGAAUUUCUCAAAGGUUUCUGACUAUGCUUGAUUAAGUAAACAUAUCCAUAUCUACUAAAAUCAUCAGUGAAAGUCACAUUGAACCGAUUAGCAUCUCUUGUGGCGAUUCUAAAGGGUCCACACACAUCUGUGUGUAUGAGGUCCAUCAAACCUUCACCCCUAGCACAAGUGCCAGUAAAAGGUGACUUUGUCAUUUUACCAAGCAAACAAGAUUCACAACUAUCAUCUGACUUUAGGUCAAAUGACUCCAAGACUCCAUCCUUUUGGAGUUGGCCUAUGCGUUUCUUGCUUACAUGUCCAAGAUGACAAUGCCAUAAAGAUGCUUUAUCUAAGCAAGUGGAAGAGUCAAUACACAAUACAUUAUUUCCUAGAUUAUCUACAACAGAUACGGUUUCAUACACUCUAUCACAAGGUAAUGCUUUAAAAUAAAUAACAUUAUUAAAGAAAGCAUCAAUACUACCAUUAUUAUUAUCAAAAUAAAAGGUAAAACCUUGUUUAUACAAUGCAUGAAAUGAAAUAACAUUUCUUGCCAUUUCUGGCGAAUAAUAACACUUAUUCAAAUCUAAUGUAAACCCACUAUUUAGCACUAAGGAAUAAACUCCUAUCUUGGUGACAGGUGAAGCUUUCCUGUUUCCCAUGAUCAAGUUUAUCUUUCCCUGCUCCACAUUCUCACUUCUUCUUAGUCCCUGCAAAUCACAACAUAUGUGAAUACCACAACCUGUAUCAAGGACCCAAGACUUAGAAUGAGGUGAGUUAUUAGACAAUAUAGUGUAUAUACCUGCAUGGUUGGGUUUUACUUUCCCAUCCUUCAAAUCUUGCUGGUACUUUGGGCAGUUUCGCUUCUAGUGCGACUUUUCAUGGCAAUAGAAGCAUUCAGCCUCAUUAGGGUUAGCAGAAGGAGUGACAAAACCUUUCUUGGUUUUGCUUGAAGAGGAGCCUUCAAGGGUCUUACCCUUGGUACCCUUAGAAGGGUUCUUUCUCUUCUUCCCUUUGCCAUGCCCGAUUGCCAAGACAUUGGCCGCAGUUGGAGUAGGAGUAGGAGUAGUAACAACCGACUUACCCUUUAGACCACUUUCGGCGGUCUUCAAGAGUCCUUGAAGUUUGCUGAGGGUGACUUCUUCCUUGUUCAUGUGAUAUGUCAUGCGGAAUUGAUCAUAACACGAUGGUAAGGAGUGCAAAAUGAUGUCUAUUGCUAACUCCUCGGGGAAGUUCACAUUCAGCUUCAGUAAACGGUCCACAUACCUUUGCAUUUUCUGCAUGUGGCCCGUGAUGGGUUCACCAUCCUUCAUUCGGGUUGUUAUCAUGGAGGAGAUUAUUUCAUAUCGCUCUUGACGAGCACUUUGAUGGUAGCGGUCCAUCAAGUCCUGGUGCAUCUCAAAAGGAUAAUAGUCCUCAUAGGACUUUUGGAGCUCGGCUGUCAUGGUGGCCAUCAUGAUGCAUGCCACUUUUGUAGCAUCUCUUUCAUGUACCUCAUAUUCAGCAAGCUCUUCAGGAGUAGCAGUUGGCUCGGGUACCUUCAGCUCCUUGUCGAGAACAUAUUCUUUGUUCUCAUACCGAGUGACCAUCCUGAUGUUUCUGAUCCAAUCUGUAAAGUUGGAUCCAUCAAAGAUGACUCUCCCACAAAGAUUCAUGAGAGAGAAGGAGCUAGUAGGGUUUGAGCCAGAAGCAUUGUUAUUGGAAGACAUCUGAAAAGAAGAGGGAAUAGAUUAGAUUAGAUUUAGAGAUAGUCCUUAAUAAAACACCCAAAUGUAGUAUUAAGGCUAGGACCCAACACAAUAUUUUAUAACUUAGAAGAGGGAUGCCGUAAUCUAAGCUAUAAGAUAUUUGAAGGUAGGUGAAUGACGAUUCACCAAUUUCCACCAUGAAAAACGAAAUAUUUAAUUAGGUUUUAAUUGGUUUAGAAACUCCUAGAUUCUUUGAGAUUCAUUGAACUUUCUUCAAUGGCAUGUUUCAAUCUCGAGUGUGCCCUUCAAGUUUUGUGACUGGGAUGCCGAGGAUCACAAAACAAGGUGUGAAGUAACCAUGCAAAUUACUUGGUACCCUUAAUGUAUUACCCCUCAAUCGAUGUGCCGGUUAACCACACACGCUCCAUCGAUACUAUGAUAAAUAUUAAGUCACCCUUUACCUACCUUGUUAAGUUUCAGUUAGUGUGUCGGUUAACCACACACGCUCCACUAACGACUUAAACAAAGUGUAAAAUGUAAUUUCAUGGAUUAGCACCUUAUUCACAUUUUCCUAAAAUAACUAAUAUUGUGAAUUCAGUAAAGUUUAGUUACUUUAGUAUUAUCGUUAUACUUUUAAUGAGAAUUUAUAAGUCCUUGUCCUACCCGUUCGGCUAACGACCCUCCACCGAUCAAGGAAGCGGUGGGUGAGAGUGGACACCCAUUAAGUUGCCAUUUUAUAGGCAACAACCUUAUACCCCCCUUAUAGACCGGCUUCGUGAAUGAGGCGUACUAGCGGUAAGACGACUUUAUCUUAUACAUAUAUAUAUUAUUAACUUAUAAUAUUAUAAAGUAUAAGGGUUGAAUUUUAACUUUUAAAAUUCUAAGGGUUGGAACUAAAGUUUUAAUCAUGACUUUACUUGUUCCAAAACUUGAGGGCAAGUUUUGUAAACUUUCAAAACUUUUCAUUUCUUAUAACUUAUGAAUUUAAUUGAGUAUUAAAAUGAAGACUUUUCAUUUUUCUAACUCUUGUGUUCUUUUAAUGGNNNNNNNNNNNNNNNNNNNNNNNNNNNNNNNNNNNNNNNNNNNNNNNNNNNNNNNNNNNNNNNNNNNNNNNNNNNNNNNNNNNNNNNNNNNNNNNNNNNNNNNNNNNNNNNNNNNNNNNNNNNNNNNNNNNNNNNNNNNNNNNNNNNNNNNNNNNNNNNNNNNNNNNNNNNNNNNNNNNNNNNNNNNNNNNNNNUGGAUUAGCAUAAACAUUACACCAUCUAAAACAAGUUUUAUAACACCAAAACAGUUUAGGGUAAUGUUUCUACUCCAUUUCCAGCAGCAAAACUCAAAAAUCUGGACGCUCCAGCCUCUACUCGUCGAGUGCAUGAACAGACUCUACGGGUAGCAUGCAUUUCUUCAUGGACUCGGCGAGUUCAUACGGCAGUGAACAAAAAAUUUCGAUUUUCAAGCUAUUUGCAUCAAGUAUCAAGUAAACAAGCCUAGGCUCUGAUACCACUGAUGGUUUUGAGCAUUCUAACACUCCUAUGGUGUACAUGCAACCCUACAAACCUUGGAUCUAUGUUUGACUAAGAUACAUGCAAAUAAUUAUUUUUCCAAGGUUCUUAUCCUAUCUAGCAUGGCAUGGGGAACUUGAAUCAAAUAAAGCUAGUAGAAUUACUUACCUUGUAGUUGUAGUUGAUUGCUUGGAGUUUUAGAGCCUAGCACCAAUAGUGUGGAUGCCUCAAAUGGAAAUCACAAAUCACCACAAACUUUGGAACUUUGGGAGAAUAGUAAUCACCUUCUUAAAAUCGGCCCUCUUAGUAUCCUAAUACAACUACUGUGAUUUCAAGAACCAAAGCCUUCUUUAUAUAGUGUGGUGGAUUAGGGUUACAUCCAUGUAAACCCUAAUACCCAUGUCUCUUCAUUUCCAUGAGAUCCAUGGGUUAAACCUCCAUGGAGUAUCCAUGGACUUUCCAUGCAAUCCUAGCCCAUUCCAAAUAAGCAUUAGCCCACACUAUAUAAAUACAAGAGCCCAUAUUUAAUUAGUAAUACUUUUGAUCUCUAAAUUAAUUCUAGAUUAAUUAUAGAUCAAUACUAAUUAAAUAAUAUGAUUUUAUAUUAAUAUAUUAGAACUUAUAAUAUAUUAAUAAAUCAUAACUUAUACUAUUCUCAAAAGAUUAUUCAUAAAUUGUUCGGGUGAAGUGAAACCCAAAUGGACCAUGCCGGGUCGGGUCAAGUACAUACCAAAUAUAGUUAUGGACUUAGACAUUAUAUCCAACAAUAUGUGGUGAUGAUAGUUUUUGUUGAUGAUAGUGGGGUAUCCAAAUAAAGGGAGGGGGUUGUGACUCAUAUUGGUUCUUUUCCUUGCACAACAAGUGCUCGACAAAAUGUAUAAUCAAGAAAUAUUGUUUUUUUCAUAAGUGUUGUUGUGUUUGGAUGAUUUAACCAUAUUUUGGAAAUCAAGAAAUCUCUUUAAGUGUAUUUAAAUAUGUGUAGAAAUGCAUGUAAAGUUUGUGGGGUUAAUCAAUAAAAAAGGUUGGUUGUGUUAUAUAAUAUGUAUCUUAAAUUUUCAAUAAUUAUUCACGAAGUGAGACUAUUGUGUGUAUUUAACUUUUUGUAUAUUCACAGGUACCUAAUUUUGUUAUAUAUUUCAAUCAACUUAUGAUUUUGACAUAUAUAAUUUCCUUAAAAAUAUUCCUACACAAAUUACCGAAUCUGAGUACUCCCCGAGUACUCACUACUCGGUAGUCGGUCGAACAAGUACCGAGCAACGAGUUAUACAACCUUGCCAACAAGUCAGUUCCAACCCAACGACUUCUUUCGCCCAAUGGGUCUGUUUCAACUCAACAUGUCUAUUUCAACCUAACAUAUGUUUAUAUCAUACAUGUAUACCAGCAAGAGUCACAAAGACGACAAGCACAUAACGAUAUAUAGUAUAGUAAGAAGACUCACCUCACAGCCAGUCAGAUAAUCACCAUGGCUAGCAUAAAUGAGAAGGUUUGUACAACAACCACCUAACAUGUAAUCAAAGGUCAAACUCUAUACCUUGACCCAAAAUCCUAAAGGUUGACCUAAAUUCAAACAUAGUCAAAGUCAACAAGUUAACAUUUUGAUCAAAAGGUUAAAAUGUCCACAAGAUGCCAGAAAGCACGACAUGCUCUCAAUAAGCGCACCGCGCUUCACUAAAAGACAAAUGCUCGGGGUCUUAGGUUUAAAACAGGUGUGUUGAGAAAACCCUAAAAGCGUGUUGUGACCAAGAAAAGUGUGUCGCACUUUGGCCAUUUCCAUAAGGGUUUUUUUUACUUAAUCUAUUGAGUCAUAACCCCAUCUUCUAGAUCUAAACUCUCAUAAGGUCUAAAUGGACAAAAUUUCCAACUUUAUCCAUUAAGACAUACCACAUCAACCAAGAUCUAAACUUUACCUCCAAUACUUCCAUGGCUUGAAGGAAAGGCUAAAGGUUCUAACUUUAUGAAUCUAAAUGGUUCUAACAACAAUCCUAAGUGACCAAAAGGUGUAACAACCCAUAAACUUAGGUAAAUAAUUUCAUUUAUUAACUAGAAAUAAUAUCCAUAUUUGUUUCCCACAAAUUCCAUUACAUAAUACAUUGUUCAAAAGAUCAGAGUAUCCAAAACAAUUAGUGCGGAAUACUGGAGAGUUUACAUUGCGCCAUCAAGUCGGGCCCUUACCCUUAGUGAGCAAAUGCCUAGUGGGUUUCCCAACAAUCUGUAAGCAAACGCCUAGUGAGUUUCCCAAAAUGCACAACACAUACAAUCACAUAAAAACCAUGCAAUAGAAAGGCAUACAUGACUUUACAUGGUCUUUACUUGGAAUGUCAUGGGCUCCCCCAUGGUUUGAUAACCAAGUGUCAUGGGCUCCGCCAUGGUCUUUACCUGGAAUGCCAUGGGCUCUCCUCAUGGUCUUCACAUAAAACAAUCCAUACCACAAAGCAUACAAUUGCAUAUCAACUAAUUACUACAUAUCAGAUAAUGGGCCGACAUUAGUGCCUUCGACCCAUGGGUAUGAUGAGAAGACUCACCUCAGUCUGCUGAACAUAAUAGUUGCUCGCCUAUCAGCCCGAAACCUCACACUAAACAAUGGUACAAAUAACCCUAAAUUAGGAUUAUAACUCAACCUAGUCAAAGAGUCCAAAAACCUAAACCUAGUCCUUAGAUGGUGGCUCAAAAUUCCUUUCAUUACUAAUGGGCCUGGGAUCCAAGAAAAAAGCUAUUAAUAGGCCAUAUGGCCUAAUAAGGCCCAACCAAAACAACUAUGGCCCAAAACAGAAUAAUCAGACCACUAACUUAAAAUGGGACCAGGCCCAAAACUAAACAAGGCCCAAAAAGAUUACAAGCACACACGAAGCCCAAACCCAUCUGGGGUGUGUAUGCCCAGCAUACCAAUCUAAUACACUUAGCGUACUGAGUCCCUUGGUUAUACGUGCAACAUACACAAUAUUACGCCCAGCAUACAAGCAGAAUAUGCACCAACGACCAUUAAGUGCUUAGUACUUGGGAUUUCAACGUUAAACUUCAUAUCUGAGUCCAUUAAGAUGUCCUAGGGCAUAAAGUGUUGGAUUAGUGUCUAAUUCCAUAACUAUUUUGGUAUGUACUUGACCCGAUGGUGCAUGGUCCUGUUGGGUUGCCUUCACCAAAGCAACUUGAUAGGAUGAAUUAUGGAGAGAAAGGAUUAAAUAUGAUUUAUUAAUAUAUUAUGAGAAUAAUAUAUUAAAGGAGAAAUCAUAUUGUUUAAUUAAUAUUAGUCAAUAAUUAAUUGGUAAUUAGUUUUGUGACUAAAAGAGAUUAAUUAAACUUAAGGGACUGGAAUUGUAAUUAUAAGAUAAUUACAAUUUGGGCCAUGGAUUGCCUUAUAUUAAGGAUUGGACGAAUUCUAUGGGGAAACCCAUGAGGAAAUCGUCCAAGGCCUUAAGGAAAGGGAUCCAUGGGUUGCUUAGGGCUUAAGCAUCCAAAUUAGGGUUUCCUUGUUAGAUAACCCUAAUAGCCUCCUAUAUAUAUACAUCCCUUAUGACCCAAAAAAAUGGCUAAGACUUCUUCUAGGGUUUCACACAUUUUAGGGCAGCCUCCUUCCUCUCUCCUCUUCAUCCUCUUGCUCUUGGUGUUUGUGAACCAUUAGAGGAGUGACAUUUGUGACUCUAAGCUUUCUAAAGUCAAUAGAAGAAGGAUUUGGGAUUGUUAUUGCUACAUAACAAUCAAGGUAAUAUCUUAAACCAAUUCUUAUGUUAAUAUGAUUACUUGUAUGCUAGAAUUAGGGUUUAUAGUCUUGGAUAACUUGCAUGUACAAUAGAGAAACCUAGAUCCAAACAUUAGGGUUUGUAUGAGCACAUAGGAUGUUCUUAGGACCAAAACCCAUCAUAAAUUUGGCAACUUUAUGCCCUUGCAAGCCAUAAGGGUCCCCAAUACUUCAUUCUUCCCAUUAAGACCUCAUUUAAGACCUCAAACUCAUGCACAAUAUCAAAACAACCUUCAAGAUGGCACCUUUAUGCAACAAGCAUGCUCAAAGAGCUUAGAUCUAACUAUCCUAGUCUCUGGAGUUGCUCAACUCACAAGACAGGGUUCAAGAACCAAAAAGGGACUUCAUAACAAAACCCUAGCUCAAACUAACAAAAAACAUGACAAGGUUAUGACUUUACACUUCCAAAAGUUCCUACAGAUGAACUAGAUGUAGGAUCCAGAAGCUCAAUGACACCCAAGACUUGAUCACCAACUUCUCCUUCUUGAAUGCUCUCUAAAAUGGCCACCAAAACACUCUUUAAGCUCAAGGAUCACACUCUCAAGAAAAUUUGGGGUUAAGGGACGAAAUAAGGCUAUGGAGGCUGAUUAGGGUUAGUCCAAAUGAUAUAAGAUUGCUUAAAUAGGGUGCAAGGCAAAGAUUUACGGUUUUAGACAUCCGCCACGUAUGCCCGCAUACAUGCUCGUACGUCCAGCGUACGAGCCCCAACCAUCCAAUGCCCUCACACACGUACGAUAAGCGUACACAGAUGUACACCCAGCGUAUGGAAAAGACCAUUUUUGACAAAAUUGAAAUACUUGAGGGUGAACAAUGGAAUAAUUGGAUUGGAGUGUUACAAAAGGAGUUUGAGUCAAGAAAACUCCAAGCUCGCCUUCUAAAUGUGAUGAAAAGUGCAUAAAAUGAACAUUAAGCAAUAUAUAACAAAUGAAAAGGAAAGCUUGAAGCUUUAUACUCACAAAAAUCCAGGAGAUGCACAAACUUUUUGGAUCUACACUUGCUCCUCGCUUCUAAGCACCAAAAAGGAGCCUUGAUCUUCAUGUUUUAAGCAUAAAACAUGGAAAAGUAAGCUUCAAAGGUGAAAGGAGGCUCAAAUCAAGCUAGAGGAGGCUAAGGUUUCGUGUGAUCUCUUUAGGGAGUGAUGGAGGCAAAGAUUAACCUAACCCUAGGGGCUAAUGGAGCUUAAAUAGCCUUCAAAACCCUAAAAUGUAACGCUUGGUUCCCAGGUAAAUUCCUUUAAAUUCUAAGUGCUUAAUUAUUUCGCAUUUGUGUUAAUUAUGUUAGGCGUAAUUAAGGUAUGCAAGGCAUACCUUUUCGAGUCUUGGACAUGGGGUUUACUCCCUGGUAUGUUGGGCGUACCUAGAGGAUGCAUGAUAUACUUAAGUUAGGGGUAAACCAUAAAAUUUAAGGUUUGGACCCUAUUUAAGCACUUCAUAACCUCAAGGCCUCUUCUAUCAUCAACCUCCUUCACCCCAAAGAAGUUCCCACGAAACCCUAGCCUAUUUUUAGAGAGUAUUGAGCCUCUUGUGUGUUUUGUUGUGUUUUUGGUGCAUCUUGAAGAAAGAAGAACCCUUUGGAGAAGCACUUGUUGACUUGAAGCUUGUAGAUCCAGACCUUGGGUCUAUGGGUUUGUGCUAUUGUUAGGCCUUAGGUUUUUAGGGACUCGGGCCAUAGUUAAAUGGGUAAAUUAAGAGAAGGGUAAAAUUUUCUUUUACCGUUAGCUUGAAGAAUAUGGGCCAUUUAUUAUAGGUUACGAUUCUGAUUAAUUAUUAGGGUGAAUUUGGAUAUGUUAAGUGUGAGGAGUCAUGGUAACAGCAGUCCGAGAGUGUGAUUUGUCUAUCUUCAGACCGAGGUAAGUUUCCUUAUUGUACUUAUGGGUCGAAGGCACCAAUGUCGGCCCACUGGAUUAUGAUGUAGGAUGAUUUUUGUGACACUUACUAAUAUGUAUGUAUGUGCUUGUUGUCUUUGUGAUUCUUUCUAGUAUGAUUGUAUGCUUAGUUAUAGGGGUAAAACAGGCAUGUACUGGUUGAAAGAUACCGAAAGAGUCGGAAGGGACUCAACGAGUUGGAAGGGACUCAAGGGUGAAAUAAUCUCAUUACAUGUUUCAGUAUGAUAUGUAUGAUUAAUGUAUGGUAUAUGGUAUUUGGGGAACUCACUAAGCUUUGUGCUUACAGUUUAAGUUUAUGUUUCAGAUACUUCAAGUUCGAAGGGGAAAGGCCUAACCUGAUCACAACGCAUCCACAUGUGUUUCUGUAAUCUUUAUGAUUUUAGGAUUUUUACCGUGAUAAUUAUUUUCACAUUGGCAUACAUUGAUGGUUUGAUUUGAUGGAUCUUGGUUGAUUUAAAAAUGAAAUUUUACUUAUGAUUUUUGGGACGACAAGUUGGUAUCAGAGCCUUGG
rnacentral:lncRNA from 1 species